UUUGUGUUGGGUUGAGCUGAACUGUCCAGGCCCAAGCUGAAAAUGCAACCGCAAACUGGCCCGGCCUUAGCCAGGGCUCAAUUUCGACCGCAAGCAUCAUGUGUUCCAACUGCUUUUCUUUCUUACUGUAAACCCAAUAACACGGGAGUCGAGAUUACCGUUUUUUCACUCGAUGGAGGUUAUGUGUUUCAGUUUUGGUUGUGAUCUAAUCAUGACCUAUUAUAUAUGACAUCUGAGCAUUUGCUACAAGGAGAUCCAAAUCUUAAGAUUUAUUAAGAUUUGCCAUAUUUCUAGCAACCUAACAAUAUCUUCUUGGCAAUUGUUCCAUUUUAAGUAAAUAUAUCUAGAAACAAAAUCGAGUAGUUUAGGAUGAAUUUGAGAGAGUGGAGGAGUUAAUUAAGAAUUCAUUGUUUUUUUCGAUUUUAUGAGUAAUAAAAAGCUACAAAGGUUAUUUAUCAUAUCCCUCAAAAUCAGGAUAAUGGAACCUUAGGUUCCUCUGAACAUCAUGUAAAAUAUAUUUAAUUUGUUGCAAUAUCAGGAGGACUUCUCAUUUUCCACCAAUUUUUGAGGAGCAAAGCAGUAUACUUGUUCAAGAAAAACAAGUACUUUAAUCACAUGCAAGGACUUAAUUUGACUACAUUUCAUUUAUUCAGAUUCCAACUUAGUAAGCUGCCCCAUUUUUUGUGAGAGAGAAAAUCUUCCCCCACAUUAAUUAUUCUCGAGAGAAGGAAAAUUAAAAAAGCUCCAUCACAAUAUCUCUCUCACUCUCUGAUAUAGAAGAUGGGAAAACUGAUCCAUCCAACCGCCACAAUCUCUAUACAUAGAUCAUAUUCAGUAAGAAGAGCCUAUAUAAUAAAAAUUUAAAAGCAUACAAGUAAUAAAGAUUGCAUGAAUCAAUGUGAAGAUUAUAAGCCUUUUUAUUGUUUUAUUAAGCAUAUGAAACAGAUUAAUGAAGCAGGUCAUCAGAAGAAAAAAAAACAAGAAAAAAGAAGCCUAGAAGCCACAGUGAGAAUUCUACGUGGAAUCCAGGUUGAAAACCGUCAGACAGCCAAGUCGGGAGUUCCAAGUUCAACAGUACUGCUUCGACAAAGCGGGCAGGUUGAGUGAGAGUUGAGCCACACAUCGACACAAUCUUUGUGGAAACCAUGGCAACAUCUCGGGAGGAAACGACCCACGUCGCCGUCUUUGAACUCCGUCAGGCACAGCGAGCACUCCAGCCUUCCUUCAUGAGCAGUGGAGUAGACGAAUGCCGGCAGCGAUGAAGGGACCGCCGAAUCAAGCCUAUUAUCACCGGUGGUGGUGGGGGCGGAGUUAGUGCUAGACUCUAUUUGUCGAUCUUGUUGGCCCUCAUCGGAAUGGUGUUGGCCGCAGAAGCAGCAGCAGAGAAGUAUCGACAACGUACAGAAGAAGCCUACCAAUAUUUUAACUGUAAAUUCAUCGUCGGAGGAAGGGCCGCUGGGACUCGUCUGGUAGUAUAAGUUCUCUAUCAUGGCUUCUUUUACUGAUUUUAGGUAGGGGUUGCUCCAGUGGAAAAGCCUUUGAGAACUUAAGAGGGGAGGAAAAUGACCUUCCUCGGCCAUUUCGCUCGAGUUUACCUGCCCAAUAUCGUUUUGGAUGGAGGUGGGCGUCCGAACCGGCCGGCAUUGCUGGCUCCAAGCGGACAAACUCCAAGUCGACAAACUAGCAUAGGUGCUGAAGGAAUUAAGGAUAGGUUUAAUAUUUCUAGGUUGGAUAAUAAUUUAAGAAUAUAGAUAAUUUGGGAUCACUGCUACAUAGAAAUACUGUAGCACUACAAAAUAUGGUAAUCUUAUCAUCUCCCUCCAUAUCAUGGUAGAUCUUGGAGUCAUCACCGCAAACCAAAUAUCACCUUUGUAGCUCAAAAUCAUUCACCUCGUGUGUUGUAUUAAAAUUGAUUCCUUUGUAUUUGCAUAAUAAAAUGUGGCAUUUAAUAAAGCAACAUGAAUGGUGGAAGUCGGUUGACUCAUUUAAGUAAUUUUUAUCUGUUUAAGAGUAUGACACAAUCCUAACUAGCAAUCUAAUGGCCUACGUAACAACUGCUUAAACUUUUCUCUUGACAAUAAUGACAAACCAAAUGAAGCAAGAAAAAAGAAAAAUAAAAAUUCAAACCUGGCCUGCUUGAUGUUUGGAAAAGUUGGUUUGAAAAUCAAAAGUAUACACUGUCUAUCCGCUUUACAAAUAACCUCUUAUAGGUAGAUAUGUAGCAAUUUUUCAAAUAUCUUGAGAUGUAGUGAUGUCAGGUUUGGGUCGGGUUGGGUUCAAGUUAGGUUAAGUGGUCCUAUGACUUGAGGUACCUAAUUUGCAACUAAUCUACUUGCAUGUUUAAUAGUUUUAGGUCCAUGUAGCAUUAGGUUUUUUGUCGUCUGAGUAGGCUAUUUUUCUCACAGAUUUGCAUUGUUCCUACAACUUCUCUCAUAUUCCAUUUUUGCUGUUACAAAUAAUGAAUAUCUAUUUUUUAAUUAAGAAUUAAAGAUAUUGGCUGAUAAUAUAACUAAAGAAGCAACCUAUAGUAUAAAUGAGAUAGCCCUAAGUAAAUUUUAGAUGCCACCACAAGCUUAAAGAACGACUUAUAUAUUCUUUUUAAUGAGAUGUCCAAACUCCAUGUUACAAUCUGUCAAAUAACUUAUAUUUACUCAUUAGUCAAAUUAUAACAAAAUAGAACUAAGGUGCUUUCAAGAGGAUUGCUGAGAUGGUCCUCUCGCUUUCAAAAUUAACAAUAGAUGAUCUAAAUUCAAGAUUUGGAGCACUAAAUAUAAUUUAUAGGACAAAAAUAUUUUGAAAUCAAAAUUAAUGUAUAUUUUUGUAGACUAAAAUUUAUACAUCUAAAGGAUACAAAAAUAAACAAUAUCAAUUGUAUUAAUAUAGUAAAAUAUAUGAUAAUGCAUAUAAAUUAAAAUUAUAUAUUUUAUAAAUUAUGAUCCGUAGAUUUAAAUUCAGUACUAGAUUACUUUUAAUGGUUUGAUCAUAAUAAAAUAUAGUAUCAUAUUAUUAAAAUCAUUUAUUUUGAUAUCUGCUUAAUAAUUAAGUUAAAAACUAUUAAAAUAUAUAAAUUUAAUUUUUAGAUAUUUCUUAUAAUGUAAGUUAUAUUCAAUGAUUUUGACCCUGAUAUACUAUCAUUAAAUUUGAAUUCUACAAAACCACCUUUUCUGCACUCUCGUAGAAUUUCAGCUCUACUCAUUUUGGCUGAUAAUAUAUAUUUUAAAUAUAUUUCUACAAAUGCCUUCUUUUUGUGAUGGGUGCGCCGUCUCUUCCCUAUUAGUUGACCUGCACCCCAUGGCGUGAACCGGAUGAAUCAGUUUGACGGGUCGUGUCAGCUAAAUGGGUUUGGAUUCACUCCUAAUGAGACAAGUGGAUAUUUAAAUUCUCACAUCUAAUCACAGGACGAUUGUUAAAGAACCAGAAAAUCCUAUACAAGGAAGACUAUUAGUAGCUAGCGUAGAGGGCGAACAGUCUCUUUUAUUGAUAUUCCCAUCGUACCUUCAAUCUUUUAUAUAGGAAGGCAAUUGGCUCUACCACUGUCCUAUAGCAAACACAAGAAGAAAACAUAGCUUUUGCCAUCAUUCUUUUUUUUUUAAUUCCAAUCAUACCUUCAAUCUUUUGUAUGGAGAGGUAAUUGUCCACUGUCCAGUUAGCAAACAUAAGAAAAAAAUUAUGAGAGCCGCUUUCGCCAUCACUCUUUCUUUCCUUUUUCUUUUUUUGUUUUACUCUGAUCAUAUCUUUAAUCUUUCGUAUGGAGAGGCAAUUGUCUCUACUGCUGUCCAGUUAGCAAAUAUAAGAAGAAAUCAUAGGGGCGCUUUCGCCGUCACUCUUCCUUUUUUUUUUUAGCACUCCUAUCGUAUGUUCAAUGUUCAAUCUUUAGUAUGGAGAGGCAAUUUUUUCUACCAACUGUCCAGUUAGCAAACACAAGAAGAAAUCAUAGGGCCACUUUUGCCAUCACUCUACCUUAAAUAAAAAAAUAAAUAAAUAAAUAAAAAAGACACACACACACACACGCACAUUCCAAUCAGAAUUCAUGCAUGUUGUCAUGUCUAAUGCAUCACGCCUGAAGUAAACUAGUGCUCCCUCUGAUUUGAUAUUUGUAUAUAAUAUAUAUACAUUGAUAACUGCUUAAUUACUUAUUUAUCAAAUAUACAAAUGAAAGUAUAGCAAAUGGGCAACAGCAAGUAGGGACAAACAAGGUAGUGGGCCAAGGAUGCAAUUCUCGCGUGUUCGGCCUGUUUAUGUCCUCACACGCAAUGCUUUUAUAAUUAACUCAAACUUAUCUAUUUAUAAAAUACGUCCAUUAACCAACCCAAUUUAUAAACCAAAUUCAUCUUAGCUAGUCGGCACUGCUUUUUAAAGGACUUGUUUAUGGAAGAGAUCUAGGGUUCUAAUCAUGGUCAUAAAACACUACUACUAUAGGCUCUAGCCCAUUUGCAAUCUAGAUAUGCUAUUUCUCUCUCCUUAGAAUGGGCAUCUCAGUACAUGAGAUUCUCAUCGCUGCAGUAUCUAUUGAAGGUUAGAUGUAAGUAGUUUUACUCCCACGUACGAAGAGUCUGUUUCUAUGUUUUGAAUCCAUAAGAUACAGAUCAAAAGAAGAUACCUUACCAUUGCACCAAGACUAUUUCUUCUUAAAUGCAAGAAUAGGUUAAAUACCAGCACAUUGUUUAGAUUAGCAACCUAAUAAAGAUUCAUUUCAACAUGAUAGUAAGGGACUUUAAGACUCGUGUAUUUAUUCUUGUCAAUUUUGAAUAUAUGGAUUAUCUAUACCAUGCAUGUGCGCGCGCUUGAAAAUGAGGAGCAGUAAAGCUCGACGAUCUUCAUUUGAAAAAUGGAGGUAAAAAGAGAGCCAACCAUCCAAUAUAAGAUUAAGAUGGAGGAUGGGUGGUAGGGACCAAAAAUAAGAGAUAGAAGGGGACAAAAAGAUGGAACGAUUUUAUCAAGAUAAUAGGUUUCCAAGAUGAAAAGAGAUGGGCAGUAUCUUCAAAGAUAUUGACUAUCUAGAUCAUAUAUAUAUCAAAAAUAAAUUUAAACUUUGUCCUGCAUUAUAUUUCUAGUUGAGCAGAAAGUACAUGUAAGGACUACCAUAUUGGUAAUUCAUUGUGAGUGUUAUGAAUCCACGGUAUUUGGGUGGAUGACCACUUAACCUUCACCACUUGAGUUUCCCCACCUCUUGAGCUUUCCAUCUUUUGUAACUCCUAAAUGUACCCUUUAUCCCUUAGGGAUGUCUAUAUUCAUCCACAUUUUCACCUUCUCUUGUCCUUUAGGUGUCUUGUGAUUAUGACUAUUAUAUCUCCUCAUUAUCACCAUUAUAUCUCUUUGUUAUAACCCUAAGCCUAUAAAAGGGUACCUUGAGAAGGAUAAAAUGUACACAAGUGAAAAGAGAAAGAAAGGCAUGAGAAAGAAAUGAGAAAUACUAUUAGUUCUUGAAGAACUAAUUUUCUACAAUUUCUGUAUCUUAUUUAUUUUCUUGUCUCCAAUCUCUUUACCUUUUAUUUUACAACAGUGAGUCCUAUUUUAGCUAGGUACUAUUUCUAGUUGUUAUUUAUUCCAUUCUUGUCCUACUUAGUUAUUGCAUGAUAUCCAAGCUAGGAUAGGUGCUUUGACUUCUAGUGGGAUAGUUAGAGCAAAAGUUUGCUUCCGAGUUGACUUAGAACAAUGUUAUUUUAAAUAAGCAACCUUACUAUCCUUGCUUGAUUUUGAGUAACAGUCUUUUGCUUUUAUAUAGGGAGUCCGACCUUUUAGAGGUGAAGUGCUUUGGUACUUGACAUGUAAGUUGUUGGAGAGAGAUUAUGUGAGGCAUACUUGGAGUAGAAACCGAGAACUUUGGUUCGAUCGUGGCGUUCUAUAUAGAAUUAGAUAGUAUAUAGAUUUUUCUACGUAGUAACAUAGUCAUGAGUCUUGGAGUCGGAUAUUUUCUUUAAGGUGUUUUGAGUAUAGUGGUGGUUUAUUCUAUUCGUAACUUAGUAAUUCUAGAGCUUCUUGCAAUUCAUUGUGCCUGCGCAAGUGUUUGGAUUCUAUCAUUGGUUCGUUGUGCAUUUGUGCAAACAGAUCUUGUCAGCCAAGACUUAUAUUUUUGCAUUAUUAUUUCUAUAAUGGAAAAGUUAAAUAGCACCAAUUAUUCUUGUUAGAGUUCUUAUAUCAACUCAUAUUUGAUUGAGAAAGAUUUGAAGAAAUAUUUUAAUGGUUCAAAGAUAGUGAUACUACCUAAUGCACCAUUAUGCAUAUUUGCGAUAUUAAGGAACCCAAGAAAGUUUGGUAUGUUUAUACUAUAAUUUACUCAAGUUCUACGUUUUACAACUUUAGUUUUUGAAAUGCGAGAAAGGUAAACGGGUUGUUUUUCCAACUCUCUCUAAACUUGAGGAGCUAAUUAAUUGGUUAGGACUUGGGAUUUGAGGUGGUCAUAGAUCGAGUAAGGAUGAUUCAAGAGCUCAAUCAUGUAGAUGGGGCUAAUGCAGAAGCCAUCCUAGAUGCAGAUAUUUCAUGUGAUGAUAAUGUCAGCCAUGAGAUUGGAAAGCCAAAGUAUGUAGAUCAGGUAAACCAAAAAUGUGCAAAACAAGAAGGAUUCUUGCAAUGAUUUAGUUCUCAAUGAGGUGAAAGGGCCAACCAAUUUUGAAGUACCACCAGUAAUCAAGCAGCAAGAAUAUAUGUUUGGUAUUGAUUCCCCUGUACCACCUUGGCAUUCAACAAGGUAAAAAGACUUGGCUAAUUUCACUAUAAAAAAUGGUCAAUCAGCAACAAAAUAGUUUGAUAUAAAUUAUAACAUAUUACUAAUAAGUACCAUAAGGCAAUAAAAUAUGAAUCUUCAAUAUAAAAUAUUAUUUAAACAGUAUUUUUGGCAAUAAAAUUAAAUUUUAUUUCUAAUUUUUGUUAUCAAAUUUGUAGCACUAAAUAUUCCCACUUCGAUUUUUUGGCAGAAAUUUUUUCGUAACAAUUUAUGAUAUUUUUGUAAUAAAAAAUUAUUAAUACCAUGAAUUUUACUGACGAUAUUUUUUUGUCAUGAAUUGAUUAUUAAAUUUGAUAAUAAUGUUAGAAUCAUUCCCAAAUAGAUCUCUAUUUUUAGUUAAGGAUAAUAUUUCAUCACUGAAUAUUUUUUUUAUUGGUUACGUAUACAGUUUUCUCGUAUAAUAUAGGCUAUUUAGUAAUGAAAUAAUGUUUCAUCAUGCAUUUUUCAAUAUAUAAAUAGGAUAAAAAUUAUUUUUAUUGCUUAUUAUCUAAUUAACUUUUAUCAACGACAAUAUUUCAUAGUUAAACGUACCUCUAUUAGCAACAUAUGUAGUUUUGUUGCAGAAUAUUAAUAUUUUAAUAACGAAUUGGAUUUUAGACGAAAUAGUUUUUGUUGCAAAUUACUUAUGUGAUGUAACGAUGAUAGUGUUUCAUCAUUAAAUACAUAUUCAUUGGUAGUAUAUAUGUUUUGUUGCAAAAUAUUGAUUAUUUAAAGAUGAAGUGGAUGUUGUCAUCUAUACAUCAUUGUAUAACUAAUGGUUUUUUAUGUUAAUUAUUUAUGAUUCAUUUUUUAUGACAAAUUACUUUUGUUGCGAACUAACUUGAAGUUUCAACAAUAAUAAUGAUAUUUUAUCGAUAAAUAUGCGAUUGAUUCUUCUUUCAAAUAUAUAGUUUUCAAGAUAUUUUUUAUUAAUUAAUAUUAAAUAUAUUCAAUAUACUUUAGAGAUAAUAAUCAUAUACUGACUAUUAUUUUCAUGGCAUACCAUCUCAUAAUCACAAACAUUACUUUUCAAUUAAAAGAUAUUUAUUCUCUUGCAUUUGUGGUUACCCUUUCCUGAUUCUCAAGCCCUGAUGUUCGACUAGACAUGUAGCCCAUUAGAAUGGAUUGAACUCAGAUCAGCUAAAUAAGAAACGAAAACAGUACUUCACUUUCGCCUCAGAUGUAUCUAUGUUAGUUUUCAAGCCGUUGAGUCGACUCCUUCACCUUGAAUAACUUUGACGCAAGAAGUCUUGUCCCAUCACAUAUUUCUCUCAGAUGGUUGCUCCCUAACCAAAAUAGGUAUUACAAUGGGACGUAUUUGGCGAGCCCGUCAUCAUUAAUCGUUAGGAUUCGAACCCCAAUAACGGCAUCCCUUAUAUCUUAAAAAGAUAAUAAUAUUUAGCAUUAAUUUCUAAGCAAAGGCUUUAUGGGCAACUUGAAAUGAUGAUCGCCUGCAUAAGUUCAAAAAGUAAUGCAUAUAUAGGCAAGUUGAAUGGUGUCCAUCAUUAUUGGUUAAUGAAAAAACCUUCUAUCCUAAAAUCUCGCUAACCAGCAAAGUUAAAAUAUGCUUCUCUUAUUAGUCAUCAUUUGAGAUGGCAAGUUUUGACCCAACUUGGACCCUCCGUGCCUAACCCAACCUAUUGGAUUCAUAUGGUUGGACGCCAAUCCCAACUAUCAGCAGGAUGUGUCGAGUUUAGUUCAAGACCUCUCAACUCGUUAGGUCAAAAAAAUGUAUAUUUGUACUUAUUGUACUUUGUUUUGUAUAAAAAAUAACUAUUCAUGCGGUAUGAAUUGCAAAACUAGAUAGAUUUUGGUCAACUAGUCAAAUAAAUUGGAUAUAGAUAUGGGGGCUUGCUUUGGGUCAAGUCCAAGUUGGAUAUUCUUGAUGUACUGAUAGGUUCGGUCAUGCUAGCAUUAAGACUAGUAGUCUGUGAUUUAUGGACUUAGACCAUCCAAUUUUGGACCUCCAAAAUAUUGGUGCCCCAGUCCUCAUCAUCUCUAAAGAAAUUCAUUUUCUACCUAAUAAAAAAAUUGUUGACUUUACUUGUUUUUUUUCCCCUGAUGGAGAGGCUUCUAAUUAAUUAUAUAUAUUUUUGGUAAAUUGAAUUUAUUAAACCAAUUUAGAAUAAAAGUAUAUGUGGGAAUCAGCAAAUAAAAUAUUAAAAAGUUAAGUAGGAUCAUCUGACAAAGUCGCCCAUAGAUUUAGCGUGAUUAACCAUAUAUAUCGCGAUCCAAUUGCUAUUUGUGUCGCUAUAAACAUAUAUGAUUUAAAAAGGUUGGAGCGUUGACCUUUUCUUUUUGUAACAAAGAAACCUUUUUAAAUAACAAAAAAAAAAACAAUCAAUUCACAAUGUAAUCCCGUUACCGUUGAUACCCAACUAGUUUCUAAGAUGCAAGCCCGUUUUACAGCCGUCUGUUCUUGUGCGCCAGAGAAAAAGGAGGAAAAACAUAGAAAUCUACAGAACAAUUCCAGGACCAGAAAGAGCUUAAGUCAAACGUACGAUUGCUCACCGGCGGAGUCGAGAACACGACUCACACCGCCGCGCCAGAAUCUGGAGCACUGAACUCGAUUGAAGCCCGGCAAAGAGGGCAGGUUGAGUGACUCUGAAACCACAUGUCGACGCACUCCGUAUGGAAGCGAUGGUUGCACCUCGGCAGCAGCCGGCCAUUCUCGCCCUCCCUGAACUCCAUCAAACACACAGCGCACUCCGUCUUCUCCUCGCCGCCGACGGUGUGCACGAAGAUUGGCAACGACGAGAGGACUCGGGAAUCCAGCCUCCCGUUUCUAGCAUAAGGACUGGGAGCGCUGGGAGCGGAGGAAGAGGCGGCGGCAGCGUUGGUGUCACCUACUCGCUGGUCCUUCCUACAGUAACGCCAGAUACCAAAGUAGAAGAGAAGGAUGAGAAGUAUGUUGAGGGCCAAGAGAACAGCGUAUAAGGUUCGGUUUUGGCGUGCCCCGUGAGCGUGCUCGGCCGGGGGAGAUCCACUGGAACUCUGGCUGGCUGAUAGCGUUCGAUUUGGCCUUGCCAUCUUCCUUCUUCUUGGUUGUGCUUGUGCUUUGGGUUUGGAAUUGGAGGUGAGGUUUGGAUGAAAGAGGGAAUGUUUUGAGGGUGGAGAGGUUUGACAAUAGGUGAGUUAAGGGGAGUAAAGGCUCAGGAGGAGGUGGGCUUCUCUUCUUUAUCGUGCUUACCAGCUUACCUAAAUGACCUUAGGCUAUAUUUGACCCUCAUACUACGGCGCUUUUCUGGAACGCUGAAGGGUCGCAUGGAAAUUGCCUAACAUAUUUAUGAGUCCAAGAACCAAGUAGUUUAUAGUGUUUGAAACAUAAAAUGACUAGGCUUGGCUGCGCCCAUUGGUCUCAUCACCGAAAAGCCUCUGUUUUGAUGAAAAAUAAGCCAUUGGCCUGUUGAUCCAAGUUGGCCACUUGGAGGGAAAAGACCUAAGAAUAGUAUUAAAAACACCAACUAGGAUCCUCCAUGGUUGCACAUCGCGGCUAUGCAUCCCAGGAUAGCCACCAUCAGGACAUGGAUAGCCACCAAACAACAUAUGCUGUCUAUGACAUGGCACACACUAAUAAACUAUUUUGUUUGAUGGCCAUCCAUCUCUUGAUGACAGCUAUCCAUAUUAUAGAGCACUAUUUUGUUUGAUGGCCAUCCAUCUCGUGUUCUAAAAACACAUCUACUUCAAAAGUUUUUGCAAAGCCUAACCCAUGCAGCCAUACCAAAUCCGAGAUCCUAAGCUUUAGGAAAGAUUAAGCUGGGCCAAAAGGUCUUAAAACCUAGAACUUUUGGCAACCAGCCCUAUUUGGUAACCAGGUUCAAGGGCAUAGACAUUGAUGUUAGGUCUACAAAGUAUGUCGAAGGCAUGAAUAACAAGGCUUGAGAUGAAGUUUGCAGUUUGGACUAUCAACGCCUGACACAAAAAGAUAUGCAGUUCAUAUGUGCACCGCGCAGUCACCAUCACGGGGGCUCUACUUACAGCCAUUGAAGCAAUUAAGUUAUGCUCAUGGUGUCCAUAAAUACAAAACUUUACAUUGUUUUGUUUAUUAUUUUAUUGGCAGGGAGAGUUAUCAUGACCUCGUCUCCGGUGAAGAAAUACACAGAUACGUUCUGAUUUCUAUCCUUAAGUUAACGUUAAACAGCUCUGGUAGAUUGUUAAGCCUUAAAUAUUUGGUUCGAAUGCAACAAAUGCAGCUCUGUUACGCCAUCUAGCUAGCCAAGUUUUGUAUUGUUUAUUACUGAGAAUAUAUAACUAUUCUGGACGAUGCAAAAGGAAGUUGUACAGCUUGAUUGUUGUUGUCUAUCCACUUAAUUGUUAAUUACGAUUCAAUUAAAAAUAAAGUGAACUAUAUUUUUGAUGUUAACAAAACCAUUUUUUCAGUAGCUAGGAAAACCAGCAGCCAUUGGCCAUUGGUAAACAAUUGAGGCCUUCACUUUCUUUCUUAAAUACUGGUGGGGCUGCAUUGGAAAUUUAAAAACGAAGGAAGCUCGUUGAAUACUUCGGAAUGUUUUGUCUCCUCUUUGUUCUUGAAUUCUUUCUUAGAGCACUCUGUGACUCCCUAUUCUACUAUUGUAAACAUUCUCCUUACACCCUAUUUCAUUAAAGAAAAAGAGGAAGAAAUACAGCUGAGAGGAUCGAUGUUGAUGCAUGGUGGUAUGCUCAAUCUUUUGUUCUUUCCUCUUUCGAGCAAAUGAUGGGGAUUCCAUCACAGAUUUUAUUUAAGAUAUAUAAAAUAGUGAACUCAGGUCGAGGAGGAAAGAAGGUCACCUCGCAGCACAAAAUCAGGACUACAUCAUGAUAGCCUCAAUUGGUUGGAGGAAAAUCCGCUCAUCAUGCAAUAGACUUAAACCAUACCACCUUUGCACACACACAGGAGGGGGCACAACGCAAACAAAUUGACUCAUCGAUCUUCAUAUAAAAACCACAGUGAAGUGACACUUUAGCAGGUCAUGGACUAAGAUGCCAUCCUCUCAUCAUCUGUGCCUCUGGAACUAAUGAGCAACCACCUGGCUGCUUCUUUCACCAGCAUCCUCCCAAACCAUGUAUGGAUCAUGGCCUCCUAAUGGCUCGUUCACCUUCGACAUCCCAUAUCAAAUCCAAAGUCGCCAUAGCAGAAUUGUCCAAGGCCAAUUAAUUAAAGCCACCCCACACUUAAUUCAUGAUCAGGAGGGGAAUUAAUAGUGAGCAACAUCUGAUUAGAAGUCCAAGCUUUGAUGCCUGAAGUUGGCUCGUCUGCUGACAUGCAAACUUAAGGACAGACUAGCUGUGAACCCAUGUUUCGGCCUUUCUUCAUGAAGGGUCUUUUUAAUCACAAAAUACAAAUAAAAAUAAAGGAGGGCAGGCCACCCAAGCCCAGCGCAGCCCAACCACAGGCCGAGUUUCACCUAGUCUAAUACGCACCCAAUCAAUCUAUUUUUUUAGGAAGUGUAAAGAUACUCCCACCAGGGAAUAUUAUUAACAAGAGAAGAAUGGGCACAACACUCCCACCAGUAUUUGGAAAUUGAAAAAUGGAAAAGGACUGAUUUUCUGUGAGCUUCCAAGAGGGUAUGUCCUUCCAUCUUCGGAGUCAAGCAGGCUAAUAAUAGUGCAUACAAAUGUCCAAUGUCUUCUUAUUCUGCCCUCAGCAUAUGCCUCGCUGUUCCAUUCUGCAAAGCUAGGCAAAUUAUAUCCUACACCGAAUGUAUCAAUAUGGCUGUGCACCACAUCAAUUAGAUUGUCCCGUUCUUAUGGGCCAAUCAUCAAGACGAGCGCAAAAAUGGAUGAAGUCUGCAGAAAUGAGACGAUCUGAUUGGCAUGAUGCCUAUGGUGCAUGAUAUAAUUUCGCAUGAAGCUAUCGCGAGGAGCCAUGACGAGGCAUGUUUUGAUCCCGCAUCAAUUAUGGGCUAGAAAUCAAAAUAAUUUGUUUUUUUGGGUGAGCACUCGGAUCAUCACAACUAUGGCUUUCCUUUGGCACAUGAUGAUGUAGACUCGGGAGCCAUAAGAUGCUGUCUCCACUCAAACCAUAAUCUUUACAGCAUUUGAGUUAGGCCGCGUCAUUUUUUUAAGUUGUUCUUUGAGCAAGGAGAAGAAAAGAGGUUGGGGGAAUCCCAAAUUCAAGCAUUCAUAUAAUUCAAAACGGGCCCAACCUACAAAUUACAGGUGUUAUCAGUAAUGUCGGCUCUAAUCCAUGGUUUACAUUAUAGGGUGUGGUUUAGGUACAUUGCAUGACAGAAGCUUGAAAUUCGGCUGUUUUCAGGCAAAACACGUCAUUUUGAGAUUCAUGCAACACUGUGCGAAUAUAAAAUAAUCAUUUACCCGUUUUGGAAUCAUUCCGAAAAAACACCGUGUUGUUUGGCCUGCAAGAUUUCUGGCAUGUAACAUAUCCAAACGGGGCCUUCAAAGUUCAAAUUAAUAGUUAAUGAUAUUAAAUGAGUAUCUCAAAAUACCUAUAUGACAUAAUUUAUAUUAUCCGGAUUUGGAUAAUGGUCAUAGUCCUAUUUUUGUCCCAUUUUAAAAGUCAUUACUUGAAGCCAUUGCAUAUAUUGUUCAUCGCUUUUUUUUAUAUAUUCAAAACACUAUAUUAGUUCAAAAUAAUAAUGUCUUAAAUUAUAAGAUUUCUGGCGCGUCAUAAAGCAAUUGGAAAAUCGAAAAUAACUGGCGAGAAUAAACAUUUGCUGCUAUAAAGAACUACCAAUAACGUUAUCAUAAUUACAAAAAAAAAGAAAAGAAAACUAAAACAAAAAGCCUCUCAAAACUUUACAAAUCAUUUCCAGACCCUCUCCCUCCACCCUUCUCGAGCUAACCGCUCGUUUCUGAAGGAAAAGUCCAUAAAGGCAGCUAAUAAAAAGAAUCUUGACGUCUCGAUAUCAUACCCCGAGCCGCCACGCGUGCACCGCCAACGGCUACGAUUCCGCGACGUCUCCAACCACUUAUGAUACUAAAGUGCCGCCGCCGUUGGUGGAAGCGGCGGCGGCGGCGGCGGCGGAGGAGGUGGAGACCGCUCCGCCCCUUCCCCCCUCUCCAGAUCCGGUUCUGCCUCCGAAUUUCCGCCGCAAUAGAGCCUCUUAUCCCUGCUUAGAAGCCUCGUAAGCAGCUGCAUGCGGCUACCUGGCGACUUCAUCCUCUGCACCCCCGGCGUUCCCAACCCUAAUCCUAAACCUAGCUCUUCCUCAGGUCCCCCGAACCCCUCGCCCCACCUCGCCGGUGCCUCGAUCCUCAGCUCCGGACACCCCAAAGUAGCCGACGAAGACCCGAUCCCCUCCGCUCGGCACCUGGAGCACAGACCGGAGGACGAACGAGCCCGUUCCUCCGCCGCCGCCUCCGGAGGAUUCGAUGCCAGUACUCGCACCGAGACGAUGGUAUUGACAGGCGGCGACGCCGCCUUCACGGCGGCCCGGCAGAGGGGGCAGGUGAAGUGGGAGUGGAACCACAUGUCAAUGCACUCGAUAUGAAAUCGGUGACCGCACAGCGGGAGGGAGCGCAGCUUCUCCCCCUCCACGAACUCGUUCAGGCACACCGCGCACUCCACCACCUCCUCCCCAUCUCCUUCGCCUCCAGCGGCGGAGAAGACGAGGACGGGAAGGGACUCGAGGAUGUCAGGAGCCAACCCGCGAUCGGCGGGGCGCAGGGCGCCGUGGGCCUCGCCGGCGAAGACGAGGCGGCGGCGGAUGCGGCGGCGGGCGGAGGCGAAGCGGCGGAGGACCCGCCACCGGAGGUAGAGGUGGAGGAAGAAGAUGAGGAGGGUGGUGGUUAAGAGCGCGACGAUGGCGAUGAGCAUAAUCUUGCCGCUUGCCGCGUAGCCCUCCGGCGGUGGAACCCCGUUAUGAUUCGAACCCAUUAGGCUUCAAUCUUCUUUUCUUUCCUCUCUUUUGAUCUUUGGAGGCGAGGGAACCUAGUCGGCCUUUUAUAGAUGCAUCAGCGUGGCCGAGCGGGCGGGAUUGUCUUAUUACUACCGGCCUGUAUAGGAUUCGGAUAAGAAGGGAAGGAUCGAGAAGUUUUCAUGCGGGAGGGUGACGUUAGUGGAAAGCUUUAAACGGCAGCUGUCCCUUUGGAAGCUUCGUGCAGGGUUCGACGCCAGACGGCGGGCGCAAACCUCGGGCGAGGCAGGCGUCGCGGUGGCUCCUGAAGUAGACCCGAGUCACCGACCCUACUUGCUUUUUCGCCGUGUUAUCAUUCUGCUGACUCUGUUUUUUUUUUUUUGGCUGAAGAUCUGCUGAAUGUGCUCGCUGAGUGAGGAGUCCAAAUCCCCAAGUCUUUGGUGGAGAAAGCAAGGUUUGGAAACAUAUCUGCACUAUGAUGGUUGCUAGAACUCACAGGAUAAUUCUACUAGGACUCCCCGAAGGAUGUAUUUAGUCCUCUUACUAGCAUAAAACCUCCAUAAUAUACAUAUAAUUUUUUCAUUUAUUUUUAAAUUAUUUUUAAAAUAUAAUAUAGAAAUAUAAUAAUAAUAUUGAAAAUAUUGUAGAUUUGUCGAAAUGAUCAUCAUGCCAUUAUAUCAUUGUAAUAACUAUGAUAUGAAGUUAUGAAGUAAAUUACAUAUAUCAUUGCUAAAGUAUCGAUUUUACUAAAUUUCAAGAUCAUGGAUGUGUCAGAUAAUUUGAAUUCAUGUUAAAACUAAAUUAUAAACAUAUAUUGUUAUAUAUAAUAUUACAUAUAUAUUUUUAUAACAAAUUAAAACUAUAUUUUUUUAUAUAUGUUUGUUAUAUAUAAUUAUUAUAUUAUAUUAAAUAAAUAGUGAAUGUUAGAUAUAUCUAUAUCAGUUGUUAUAUUUUUAAUUAUUAUAGUACCUAUAUAAUAUAUUAAAAUCAUUAUUCUAAAGUAUGUAAUUGUUUGCUUAUAUGUUUAGCAUCAGCUCUCUUGUCCUAUUGAUUUAAUUGAUACAUGACUCUCAUUUUAUUAAUGAUAAUAUGGAAUGUGAGAAGAAUUUAAAUUCCAUUAUUGAUAAUAGUAUUCACAUGGUGAGUAAUUAAAAACCACCAUGGUAUAGUCCAUAAUUAAUUAAUUGAUCCGAUUGAGGAUAAUAAAGAAUUUUCUCAAUAUUCUCAACUUGAAUAUCUAAAAAAAAAUUAGAGAAAAGAAAAAAAAUUGCGAAAGCAGAAUUUAUAUCCCAUUUUCUUUCAUUCAUGAUCCAUAUACGAUACACUGAGGUACAUAGCCCUUAUUUACAAUAGUAGUAAGGUCCUCUUUUAUACAAUUUGGAUUAAAUUCCUUUUCCAGUUCAAAUAAAUUUAGAUUUCCAAAAAUAAAUAUGACAAGUAAAAAUAAUUAUAAAAAAAUAAAAAACUCUACAGAAGGUAAAUCUCAAUAUUUAUAUUAAUUUUAUCUUUUAUUGCUUUAUCUAAUUUUUCACGUAUUAGGAGAUAUGCUCGAUCAAAAUUUUUUCUAAAAAGAAAACUUUCUAUUUGAUUGGCCUAUCUCGAUGCCAAAAUUCAUAUUUUCUGCACUUAUCGCCUUCUUGCCUUUCCUUGGCUGGUACUUCACUUUGCUUCUCAUGAUCUUCAUUCUAGCUUCUCUAAUGUCUUCAAUUUCGAAGAGUUUUAACUUCUUUCGAAUACUCCAUAGAGACCUCUGACGUACCUAAUAAAGACUGCAUAAUCAUUAAUUGAGUUUUCGAGUAAGAUAGCUUGCUUGUAAAACUUGGUAGUAUAGUUUAGGAUUGAUUGAUCAUACUUCUGUUGCAGGUACCACUACUUGAUUAAUUAAUUUUCUCAUAGUCGAUUGGAUAGAAUUGCUCCUAGAUUAGGCUCCUGAAAAAUGCUCUACGUCAAGUUAGAAAAUAUCAGUGUUCCUCACGUACGAAUUUCACCAGAUAAGGACAUAGCUGAAAAGCUUGAGGUGGGCAAAAGUUACUUUUUGGAUAGUAAAUAAAGUUUCGAACUAGUCUAGCCAAUUAUCCAGUUUUUCUACAUCGACAACUCUAUCGUAUACAAGGAUCUCGAUUAAAGCUUCGACUUUGAAGGGUUAAAGAGGAGGAUUCUUAGUGCCCGCAAGUUACUUAUCCUCCUCACUGAAUGGCAUAUCUUUUAUCUCGAAACAUAGAAGUUAGCUUCACAAUAAGAGAAGUUGGUGUUUAUGCUGAAAGUAUCACCAAUAGAAGUAUGAUUUUGGUGAGUUGGAUAAUCUUUUCUAGUUAUGUGAGACGAUCCUUCAUCUUAUCAUCUAUACCCGCAUUUAUCUUAAAUAUACUUUAAGCAUGGAUAGCAUUUCUUCUAUUUGCUUGUAUUUUUUGCACACUUGGACCACAAACUAAAAUCUCCAAAGAUGUGGAGGAGUGGAACUUCGAUACCAGCAUGAUCCGAUCAGAAAAAAAAAGAAUUUCUCAACCCGUUUAACUCGAAUCUCUCAAAAAAAAUUAAUAAAAAAUUAUAAAAAUAGGAUUCAUGUCCUCUUUUUCUUUUAUUCAUGAUCGAUAUGUUAUAAACUAAGGUACAUAUCCCCUAUUUAUAAUAUUAGUGAGGUCCUCCCUUACACAUUUCAGAUCGAAUUCUUCUUUUAGUUUGAAUUAGACCAAAAAUAAAUAUGAUUAGCAAAAAUAAUCAAAAAAUAAAAAUCCUACAAAAGAUAAAUUUCGAUUUCCACAUCAAUUGUCCUGUAUCAUCCCACCUAAUUCUUUAUAGGUAGAGAGAUAAGCUCGGUUAAUUUUUUUCUCAAAAAAAAAGUUUUGUUUUAACCGGCCUAUUUUGGGAUCCAUGCAAUGAAAUUUCAGCUCAUUUUAACCUCUUUAGGAAACAUUUGGUAUGGGUGAUCAUCCCAAGAUCAAGGAUGAUAUAGAUAAAUAUGACGAGAUUAUUAUUUUUGGUUGUACCAUAGUGAUCAUAUGUAACAGUGAUCCCAAAUUAUCCUCACUCCUCAAAUCACAACCCAAUCCAGUGAUAGGAUGCCCAUCCUUGAGGUCAGAAAUCUAAGAUUACCCUACGAUAGUAAUCUUAGGCCAAAAGUUGAGGACAAAAUUGUCCCUCAAUCUAAAAAAAAAAGGUAUAUCAAUACACCACUUAUAUACUAUAUCAAUAUUACAUAUAAUAUAAUAUUGAUACUAUAUAUAUGAUAUUUAUGAAAUAGGAUAUUGUAAUAUAUUAUUAGUCAUAUUAUUGCCAUAUCAUUAUUCAAUGAUAAUUUUAAAUUAUAGUAGAAAUAUAUUAUUGUGCUUUAUAUUAUAUAAUAAAAAAUAUUUAAUAUAUUACUUCUAUGCCUUAUUUUUUAAUCAAAAUAAUUAUUAGUAUUAAAACAUAAUAUUAGUAAAAAUAUUAAUUCUAUAAUAACAAUUAAUAUAUCUUUAUAGGAUUAAUAAUUUAUAUGACUAAUAAAUAUAUUUAUGCAAUACAUUAAUAAUUAAUAUAUACAUAAAUAUAUUAAUAUUUUAUUAUGAUAUAUUUUAUAUGAUUAAUAAAUAUAUUUUUAUUGAAUAUGUCAAAGGUUAGUGCUAAGUCGUAGAACUCAAAAAAGUUAGCCUAUUUCAAAGAAAAGAUCAUUUUAAUUAAAUGCCGUAGGUCUAAGUUACAAUCUCUAAAAAUUUGACUUAUGAUUUGGCUUUUCAAUAUGGCAGAUUUUGCUUUCAAACCUUAUCUAGCCUUAUUUGUGGUGGCAAAAAUAGUCCACAUUGAGUCUAAUGAUCAUUGUAAAUUAUUAAUAUAUAAUUUUAAUUAAUGUAUUGACUAAAUUAAUAUAUGACUUUUACUUUAUUAAUGAUAAUAUGGAAUAUAAGAAGGAUUUAAAUUUCAUUAUUAAUAUUAAUAUCCACAUAGUAAAAGAAAAGCUCAUGGCAAGCAAAGCCUCCAUAUUAAGAACAUUUUUGUAACAAAUUAAAAUAUAUUUAUUGUAUAUAUUUUCUUUUGUUAUAUAUAUAUUUUUUGUAUUAUAUGAAAUAAAGUAUGAACGUUGGAUAUAUGUAUAUCAAUUUUCAUAUAAAUUCUUUUGUAAUUAUUAUAAUCUUUAUAUAGCAAAUGAAAAACCAUCAUCCAUGGCCUACAAUUGUUUGCUUACAUUUUCAGUAUCAUCUCUCAUCUCCUAUUGAAUUAAUACAUGGCUUUUACCUUGUAAUGAUAAUAUGAAAUAUGAGAAGGAUGUAAAUUCCAUCAUUAAUAAUAAUGUCCAUGGUGAGUGAUUGAAAAUCAUUAUUCUAUAGUCUGCAAUUAAUUAAUACAUAAUUUUAGAUAAUAAAUUGAUUAAUUAAUAUAUGAUUUUCACAUUAUUCAUGAUAAUAUGGAAUGCGACAGAGAUUUAAAUCUCAUCAUUAAUAUUAGCAUCCACAUAGCGAGUGGAGAGCCUCUGGUACCGUUUGUAACAACCUAGGACCUCACCCAAAAUGGAUAAUCGGAAGGUAUUAUUUGGGUUUCUUGAUCCUAUAUAAGUACCUAAGAUCUACCGAGUGAAUAACCGAUAUGGAAUUAAACAUAUACCCGCACGGGUCCUCACAUAAGUUUAAACUAGGUAGUUGUGAGUAGGGAUAGAAUUUAAGGUAUACUAGGGAAGUCUUACUUUUUAUUAUCUUGAUUCAAAUGCACUCAUGAUCUUAUUAUAAACUGUGUAUAUCAUGAGCAAGUCCCCUGAUUUUCAUUAUUUUGAUAUUAUAUACAUGUAAUCAUAUUCAUGAUUUUAGAAUCAAUUCCCUUAUUCUUGAAUUUUUUUUUUUAUUAUUGUUUUGGUACGUGAACUUGAUCUAAUUUGUUAAAGAUUCAGUUAGACUAUCCCUCUUAAUGGAUUCUAACUUAAAAUUUAGAUUCAAGCUUUUUAUAUCAAUAUGUGGUCUACCUUAUUAGGAAACUCAUUACGAUCUCAAUCCUAUUAUUGAAAUCAUGGUAACAAGCCUUACCAUCUUGGGCUUGCUCUUAUGAUUCUAAUAUUGAUCAUUUUUUAAAGCCCAUCAUUAUAUAUUUAUCCUUGUGAUCACUUGUAGAACUAUCCAAUUAUUUGACUAUGAAUAAGAUAGAUCAUGAUCUUUUAAUUAUAUCUAAGAUCCAUCAUGAUGUAUAUGUCAAACCCAUUUCACUUCCAAGCUCUACUCCAAGCAAUCGCUUUUAAUAAUCUACCUUGCUAUGAAGAUUUAGCAUUUUAUUAUUGAUCCUAGUCAAUUCUUGAUUGAACAAGCAUUUAAAUCUACAUCGUAAUUUCAAACUCAAAUUCAUUUUCAAUCAUUUUGUUAAUGCUAAUCUUGUUAACCUAUUUCUUAACCUUAGAUAUGACAAAAGCUUCAGCUAACUAUUUUUUCAUAUGUAAAUAGAUCUUAAUCUAGUUUUCAUACUAAUGUUGAUCAUGUGAUCGAUAUUAGGGCGAGAUCUGGAAUUCAAGUGGGAGAUCAUGCAUUUCUUAAAAUAACUCCUACCAAGAAUGUGAUAAGAUUUGAGCUAAGUACGUUCAACUGUUUCUCGGUCUAGGUUCGUUCAAAGGACGAAAUUUUUUUUAAGAAGGGGAGAACUUGAGAACUGGUCUAACUAAACUAGCUCUAUCAGAUCAACCUAGCCAAUGUCAUAGGAGGUGCCACAAUUGUGAUCCUCUACCAGGGCAAGGCCAGUGCGGAAUGGCUAGGGUUGGCGCAAAACCGCCACCUAGCAGCUCCUACCCAUGGUUAGGAUUAUGGGCGAGAUCGAAACCGCCGGCAACAAACACUUUAUUGAAUUAAUUUUAUUUAUCUGUUCUCUUACUUUGCCAUUAUCAUCAUCUCGCCUACCUUCUCAGCCGAGAUCCACCCCUCCCUUCUCUCCUAGUGUCACUGGAGUUGUGCCCCAACUCUAUGUCGGUCAUUAUUACGGUAAGUGACCCUCUAUUUUCCCCACAGCUGGAUAACCACACCCUCGCUCUGCUUUCACGACGCUACUCCUCGAAACAACAAAUCCUCCUCUCACUAUCAUCUUUUCUCCUCCAGCUAUGUCUCCUCUUUUCAUCUAUUGUUGAAUUCAUGGGCAGUUUGAAAGUGCUAAAAUAGAUGGUAAUAUAAAAAUUAGGUCUUGACAUGAGCAGCUCAUGAUGCAAUGUCAUCAUAGCUCAAAAGAAGAUACAUCACAUUUUUAUUGGUCCGGGCACAAAUCAAGCUUACUUGCUGGACUAGCUUUCCUAUGUUCCAUCCCACCCACUUUUACCAUGCCAAGCGACUAGUAGCCUUUCCCAAGUUAAAGAACUUGGAUAUCUGUUUAUGAAUACAUCAGUUAGAAUUGCCUUUGGAACCGUAUCAUGCAAACACUGGACAAAAGCACUCUAUGAUCAUUUGGAUUAGAUUUUUUUCAACCGUCGAACAGAUAAAUUGAUAUAGGUCUUACCAUGAGUUGUACUCACUCAUGGGCCUGGAUUUUGUGUUACUGGGCGUUUGGGCUAACCUCGCCAUCCUGGUGCAAUGAGACAGAUAUGAAUAGAGAUUUUUUUUCCCAUUCCAAAUAUCAGCCUGGAUGUCUUAACAAAGGGCAAGAUGACUCAUAUGCUGAUGAGGCUUAAAGUAAAUAUGGUAAACAUGAAAAGGAGGGAGAGUGAGAGUGGAAAACAAUGAAUCAUAGGUUGGUGGAAAGGAUUUUAGAUAAAGCUUAUCGCGAUGCUACUAGUUGGAGACUCUUGCAGUUAUUCNNNNNNNNNNAAAUUUUCCUAUUAAUUAGUAAGCCGAACUUGGAAGCCGGACUCAUAAAUCUGAGCAGAUAUCGAAUUUGAAACGUUAUACAUGAGAACAUAAAACGACAAGUUCAUCAUCACAUUCCUAAAAUGGUAAGAGGAAGAUCGCGGUCUAUAUCUUUUAGGAUUCUUUAUCAAAAAGAAAUCUUUUAGGAUUUGGUAUAGACUUGAAGAAUCUUCUGGCUGUUGACAAAAAUGACAAAUUCCUCACCAUACAGGAGGAAAUUAUUGUCAAGUUCAUCAUCACUUUCCUCAAACAUUUCAUAUAGUAUAACACAAGAAUGAUAUCCGCCCGCUAUGCGCGGGGAGAUAUAGAAAAUAGAAAUGUAAUUCUAUACGGUGGAAGAAUAAAUAAUUUUUUAAAAAUAGAAUAAAAAAUAAUCAUAAGUGGAAUGUAUUUUAUAAUUAAUGACCGCCCGCGGCACGAACUGGCAUUCUAAUCCUUCCAAUUGCUUUGAUUGCGGGUUCCAUGGAAGAUUAUUUUUUAGAACUUUUUUCAUAUUUUAAAUUUACAUAGAGCUCGGCAAAAUUAACUAAUAAGAGUUUCUAUAUUUCUUGAAAUAAUUAAUAAGAUCUGCAUUUCCUAAAAUGAUUAACAAAUAUUAGGCUGACUGGCAUGCAUUUCUUUUGAGGAUUUUUUUCACAUGUUAAUAAAGCUUGGUAAAAAAUAAUUAAUUUUUUACAUUUUCUAUAAUAAUUAAUAAAAUUUUCUGCAUGUUCUAAAAUAUAUAAGAAACUUUUAGGUGGAACAAAAUUUUUUCUUAAAUAAUUAAGGAGCAAGCUUGUGCAAUAAUUGUUCCACUAAGAUAUUUCUAAAUAUCAGCAAUGGUCUGCAUGUUAUGCACAUCACAUAUCUCAACCAUGUAGAUCAUACGGUGAUAUCAAAUACACAGGAUGAACUAUAACUGCCUAGUAACAUGCCCCAUAAAUGGUGGAGUCUUUAACGAGCUUUAACCGUCUUUAGUGUGCUUUGAGUUGAAGACAUAUAGCUUGCUGCAAUUGGUGUAGGUUGGCAAAUGUUGAGGUCAGCAGCCCGAUUGAUUGCUAUGGUUGGUGGCUCAGGUGAUGCCGAUGUCAUCACCUUAGUUAGUUGCCGAGGCCGAGCAGAUAAAUGUAUACCAUCUUAGGACCAUUCGGAUUUGGAUUGCUAGAUGUGUUUCUGAAGUUGGACUCUCUCUAGGUUGACCACAACAUGGUUCAAGUUUAACCCAGUCGAAGUUUAAAAUAAUGGCCUUCUACAAUAUUACAACCGCUACAUUUCAGCAGCUUUUUAUUAUGACACAUUAUACUAAACAGGAGGCUUUUAUAUUCCCUUCUUCCUUAUUAGUCAUUAUAGUAACCAUUGCAUAAUAGAAAAGUGCCAUUACUUUGCAUUUCCAUUUUUCAUCUCAACAAAACAAUGGACUUUAAAUUUAAAUCUAAAUGCGAAAUGCAAAAAUAAAUUUUCUUAUUUGGACAACAGUAAUUUAGUGAAAAAUGCUGCAGUUUUUCUACUCUAGUCUGCGAUUUUGCUUUAUGCUUUAUAGGAGCUAAUAACAGAAAACAUCGCACCUAUUCCAAAUAUAUGCAGUCCUGGUCAAGCUAGCCAAAUGACACAGCCCUUUUUACCGAGUGCUUCCGGAAAUAACCGCGGAGGGGGUUCACCGUUUGGCGCACCGACAACCUUGAAAGCAGAAUGCUGCCGAGCUACGAACCCUUGGUUGGUACAAAAUGUCAUAAAUAAACUGUUGCUUUGUCAUGUGACCAUAUUUGUUUCAUAAGUCAGAAUCCUCUCAUUUUGGGACAGAACCAGAGAGGUCCAUCGUCUUCGAAACAAUACCCUGAAUUGCAUCAGGUGGAACAUGCCAAUCAAAUUUUUCGUUCAAGUAGACUCUAUUCAUCAUGGGGGUCAUCUCAGAUUGCCGCUCAUUCAUCUUGUCUCGGAUUAUCCUUAUGGUGUAUCUCCAGCAUGAUGCGCAUGAUGUAGGAUAUAAUUUCUCCCAGUAUAUAGUCUACAAUCAUGGUUGNNNNNNNNNNNNNNNNNNNNNNNNNNNNNNNNNNNNNNNNNNNNNNNNNNNNNNNNNNNNNNNNNNNNNNNNNNNNNNNNNNNNNNNNNNNNNNNNNNNNNNNNNNNNNNNNNNNNNNNNNNNNNNNNNNNNNNNNNNNNNNNNNNNNNNNNNNNNNNNNNNNNNNNNNNNNNNNNNNNNNNNNNNNNNNNNNNNNNNNNNNNNNNNNNNNNNNNNNNNNNNNNNNNNNNNNNNNNNNNNNNNNNNNNNNNNNNNNNNNNNNNNNNNNNNNACAACAAUGGUCAUUCAUGCAAGGCAUGAUGACUUGUGACUGCAUAGGCCUCAUCCUAUGUAAGUCGCGGUCCAUUCUUUGCUCUCUAGUGACACAGGCGCAUGUGAUUGCAAGCCUCUCCACGUCCGUUCCAAGGUAGAGAGGAUCCUAGCUCUUGAUUCAUUCAUACUUUGUAAAUCCCUCCAAUCGUCUCAUGCCACGUUGAAAGCUAUGCAGUAUUUUUUUUUUUAAAUUUACUUAAUAUUAGGGUUGGGCCUAUUGGUUAUUAGUCUCGAAACCUUGAGCCCAAUCUUUAGCCCAGUAAUAUCCCUGGCCUAACAUGCACUCCUCUCAUCACAAUCCAUCCGUCCGGGGAACGAUCAGUUGGGCCACGAGAAACAGAAGCAAACCGACACGGAUUCAAUCUGGACCGCACGACACCCACAUAGUGUGGUGGUCCCGUCCAUCCAUGAACACUGCUACGUGUCCCCGCUGCCCGUGCGGGUAGGGGGUGGAAGAGAGAGCAGCGGACGUGCACGCACCUCGCACAUGCCUGCGAUCUGAGCACCGGUAUGGGCCGAGGAUGGAAACAAAAUCAUAUCGGCCGAAAGGGAAAGAGCGGUGCCCGGAUCUGCUGUCCGGUCCUGGGUCCCACGAAUAAUUUUAUAUAUCAGAGUUUUUUUUCCAAUGAGAAUAUGCCACGUCAUCGAAUACUUCGGUUUUUUUUUUUUUUUUGGUAGGGGUGAGCAGGACAGAAGCAUGAGGUUCGCCGACAUGAUCUCACGUUCCCGGCCUCUGAAAGCUCGUUGGCUACGUGAAGAAAAGGUGGCCGUCAUGUCCUUUCUCAAAUGCUAAAAGGGACCUAUUCGAAACAAACCCACAAGGUGUUCUUUGCUUUAAAUCAUUACAAAGGCAUUGGGUCCCAUCUAUAUGGGUGGAAGAGUUCUAAAAGGGUGGUAUGUCUGGUCUUUCUUCAACAGAUCUUAUAAUAAUCAUGUAAUUUUUUUAUUUUUUUUUGGAGGUUGCGGGUGCACAGGGUCACGAGAGCAGGACCGUGACAUCCUCUACUCAUAAGUGGAGGCAGCCUGUUCCUAUGAAAACGUUAAAUACAAAAGAAGAGAAUUAAAAGGAGUGCAUGCAUGGAUAUAUCAUGGAGGGAGCAUCGUGUUUGGUACCCGCAAAAACGCCACUGCUGUCUGACAGUAGAGCUUGUAGGAGCUGAUAUGAUUCCCUCUUCAACGAAUUCACGCCACUGCCCUCUCCGGACCUUAGCGGUUAGGCCAAUUACCAAAGUUCCCCUUGAGCUUUAGCAAAAAAAAAAAAAGUUCCCCUUGAUAGGUGAGUGAUUUCUUAGGCUCGGACUCACCGCCGUAUGCCGUAAUAAUGGAGGAGGAAUGGCACAAAGAGUGGAGUAGUGAUCUAUGGAUUCCCACCCCGUGUCAUACAAUAAAAGAUUAAGCCUGAUUACUCGAACUAAUCAAAAUGCUUAAUUGGUAGUAUUUUCCUUCCUGUAAACUAAAAGUUGGAUUAACAAUAAGGGCCCUAGGAGUAUACCCUACGCAAGCAUGGUCAAAACUUUGUAUUGUGUCCUGCUUCUUAAUUAACUUAUUCUUUCAGCUUUUUUUGUACAGAUUUCUUCUCAAAGUCCCGCUCUUAAACUAUUUAACUAAGGAGUCAAGCAUCACAUGGGUACGCAAUUGGACAUAUCUGGCAGCAUGUUUCUUAAUGAUAAAAAAUUCAAUAAUUUUAGAUACCUUUUGUUUCAAAGUUAACCAAUAGAAGAGGCAUAGUAAAUUUUCUAUAAUAAAAGACAAAUUUAGGUUUUAGUAGUUCAUUAGGUUAGAGAGAAUGGUGUUUAGCAGUUCUUACAAUCAACCAACUAUUUUGGACUUUUGGAGAUCGCAAGAUUAAUAAGAGUUUUGUUUUUUUAUUACUCCGAGCUGGCAACCUUCCGAUGCGGCGGGACCACCAAAACGAACGAGGCAACGGACACUUGCUCUGGCCAUUCAGCAAUUAAGCCCAACGACCAUGGGCGUUUUUGGAAUCCCCGUGGCCAUCUCCCCAUGGCGUGGGACCCCCACCCCUCGAGAACAUAAGAAGAGCUGAGGAGCCCUUCCGCUUCCUCCACUUCUUCUUUCUCUCUAAAGAAGGAAAGGAAGAGUAGAAGAAGAAAAGAUGAGCAAAUCCCCAAUAUUCCCAAUGCCGGAGCCCCAGCAUUACAGCGACUACGGCUUCGAUCCCCAGAUCGGCUACUUCCAGGUUCAUCGCCUAACUGCUCCGUUUUCUUCUCCUCAUUCUAGCCCUCACUUUUCUUUUUUUUCCUGAAUUAAAGGUGUUAGAGGAGGCACGGAAGCACGGCAAGAGGAGCGAGGCGCGGUCGCUGGACGCGCUCCACUUCAAGCUCCAGAAGCCCAUCUCCAAGGACGAGGCCAAGUCCCGCAAGAAGCGCCGCUGGUGGUGGAAAUCCGCCCUCUUCUUCUGGAAGCGCGCCAAGGCCGGUGAAGACGAUGACGUUGGGUCCGGUUACCGCCGUCCGAAGAGCUACUUCUCUCCUUACCGGGAGGUAUCCGGACCGGUGUACGCGACGGAGAGCGCGGGGUCGAGCACGCCGUGCCGCACCAGCCGGCCCAGCUCUGGGCCGCUGGCUGCGGCGGAGGUCGGGGCGGCGGGGAUCCCGUAUCUCAGUCUCCGGGAUCUUAACGUCGUUGACGGCCACCGGUUCUCCGCCUCCGCCGCCGCCCCGACGCCGAUGCCCAUCUACCUCGUUACCUGAGUGCCGGCACCGUUCGAUCUCUCUCUCUCUCUCUCUGGUUUUUCCUUUUUUAUCUAUUUUUCUUGUUUUUUUUGGUGGGUCGUGGCUUGAUAUCCUCAUAAUUGGGGUUUGGUUUUUGUCUAAAAGACCGAAAAGGGAAGCUUUUUUUCGCCACAUUUUUCUGAGUUAUCGAGUUGCUUUCGCUGUGUCUUCUCCCAUUUGCUCGCCGCGUCUCUUUCGAAUCUCUGAGUGAUCUGUUUCGGUUGUGGUAACGGCGAUGAGUUCAAGCUCCGGUCACCACGAAUGAGAAUAACCAACGUCGACUCUCUCGAAUCUCUGAGUGAUCUGUUUCAGUUUUCGUAAUGGCGAUAGGUUCAAGCUCCGGUCACCACGAAUGAGAAUAACUAACGGAGUAACGUUUCAUUUAGCGGGUUGGUGUGCUCUUAUUACGCGCGGCCUUGCGAACUCGGGUUGGGUUGCAAUCCCGGCUGGAUCAGGAUUUGGGACUGCAAUUAAAAUAGUUGCCGUGGAGUCAACGGCGCAGGCUUUUGAACGAUGACUUCUGUAAAGGUCACUAGAUUUGAGCCUUUUUCAGGCGCGUGACUUGGCCCUCGAGAGAAGUCAUAUCGUCUCGUGUUUGGGGUGUGAAUAUAAGUAAUAAUUACUCUUAUUUUAACAAUAACUUCUUGCAAAGGCCUUCAUAGAUUAUUAUAUUACUCAAUCUGUUUUAUUCGUAAUCAUCGAUCUCUGAAUGUUUGUAAUCCCGUUACUAUCUUUGAUAUUCAUAAUAUACUUUUUUAAAAUUAAUAAAAUAGAAUAAUAUAAUUUUUUAACUCUGUCUAUUUGAGUAGAAACCAGGAAAUUUGGAAGCUUAAAAGGGUCGAGGCUCCAAAGCAAGAUUUAUCCCGAACUGGUGAUCCAACGGCUAGGCAAGCAAGAGUUGGAUACAUUACAGUAAUCGCAAAAAAUAGGCUUAAUGCUUCCAGGGUGAUUGAGUGGGCACAAUGCUGGGCUUAAAAAGACGCGCUUGCCUAUGCUUCACAGGAUUCACGGGAAAGAAAGAAGUCUUCGAUAAUCAUACUGAGCUUGAUUUUGAGGGAGGCCUUCUGAGAAGAACAAAACCAUUUGCAUGUUGAAGGGGAUAGACGUGCUGCCCAGAAUCAUUAAAAAAAUGUCAUUUUGCCUUUUUUUUCUUAAUGCAAGUUCAGUAGGAUAUUAAGAUACAAAACUUGGGCUCUCAUGAAAUGAAUUCAUGGGUCACCCUCUCUCUCUCUCUCUCUCUCUACUAAAACGNNNNNNNNNNNNNNNNNNNNNNNNNNNNNNNNNNNNNNNNNNNNNNNNNNNNNNNNNNNNNNNNNNNNNNNNNNNNNNNNNNNNNNNNNNNNNNNNNNNNNNNNNNNNNNNNNNNNNNNNNNNNNNNNNNNNNNNNNNNNNNNNNNNNNNNNNNNNNNNNNNNNNNNNNNNNNNNNNNNNNNNNNNNNNNNNNNNNNNNNNNNNNNNNNNNNNNNNNNNNNNNNNNNNNNNNNNNNNNNNNNNNNNNNNNNNNNNNNNNNNNNNNNNNNNNNNNNNNNNNNNNNNNNNNNNNNNNNNNNNNNNNNNNNNNNNNNNNNNNNNNNNNNNNNNNNNNNNNNNNNNNNNNNNNNNNNNNNNNNNNNNNNNNNNNNNNNNNNNNNNNNNNNNNNNNNNNNNNNNNNNNNNNNNNNNNNNNNNNNNNNNNNNNNNNNNNNNNNNNNNNNNNNNNNNNNNNNNNNNNNNNNNNNNNNNNNNNNNNNNNNNNNNNNNNNNNNNNNNNNNNNNNNNNNNNNNNNNNNNNNNNNNNNNNNNNNNNNNNNNNNNNNNNNNNNNNNNNNNNNNNNNNNNNNNNNNNNNNNNNNNNNNNNNNNNNNNNNNNNNNNNNNNNNNNNNNNNNNNNNNNNNNNNNNNNNNNNNNNNNNNNNNNNNNNNNNNNNNNNNNNNNNNNNNNNNNNNNNNNNNNNNNNNNNNNNNNNNNNNNNNNNNNNNNNNNNNNNNNNNNNNNNNNNNNNNNNNNNNNNNNNNNNNNNNNNNNNNNNNNNNNNNNNNNNNNNNNNNNNNNNNNNNNNNNNNNNNNNNNNNNNNNNNNNNNNNNNNNNNNNNNNNNNNNNNNNNNNNNNNNNNNNNNNNNNNNNNNNNNNNNNNNNNNNNNNNNNNNNNNNNNNNNNNNNNNNNNNNNNNNNNNNNNNNNNNNNNNNNNNNNNNNNNNNNNNNNNNNNNNNNNNNNNNNNNNNNNNNNNNNNNNNNNNNNNNNNNNNNNNNNNNNNNNNNNNNNNNNNNNNNNNNNNNNNNNNNNNNNNNNNNNNNNNNNNNNNNNNNNNNNNNNNNNNNNNNNNNNNNNNNNNNNNNNNNNNNNNNNNNNNNNNNNNNNNNNNNNNNNNNNNNNNNNNNNNNNNNNNNNNNNNNNNNNNNNNNNNNNNNNNNNNNNNNNNNNNNNNNNNNNNNNNNNNNNNNNNNNNNNNNNNNNNNNNNNNNNNNNNNNNNAGAUUUUAGUUGAAUGCACUUCUUCCUUCUUUUUCUUGGAUUUACUCAACGAAAGCUCUUGGUGGUUGAAAUGCUUUAAUGCUUAGAUGGAAUAGCUCUCUUGUUAUCUACUACUGUUCACUCUGGCUAUUUAAAUGGUUCCAUUCGAAAACUAGCCAUUAGAGAGUGAUUUGGAGUCGUUCUGUUCCGUCUGCAUAUCCUGAUAAUGUAUCCGUUGGGAUCGGAGUCGACUCGUGCGAUCUGGAGUCGACUCGACUGUAGCUGGAGUCGACUCAUGCUUUACUGGAGACGACUCGUCCGUUGUUCAGGAUUUGAAUUAAAGUACUUGUCCCAUCCUGGAGUCGACUCGGACCAAAUCUCGAGUCGACUCGCCAACAUCUGUAGAUGACUCGGGUACUUAGGAGUCGGCUCGUUCUCAGGAUUCCGGAAAUCCAUCUUUCUGUUUUUCUUUCUUGAGUUGACUCGGGUUUCUUGGAGUCGACUCGGCUGUCUUGAGAGGCGACUCGAGAUCUUCAGGAGACGACUCGUUCUCAGAGUCUGAAAAACCGAUUCUCUGUCUAUUGAACUAAUCUGCCUCGGAGUCGACUCGCGCUUUGUUGAAGUCGACUCGACUGACUUGGGAGUCGACUCUGGAACUCUUGGAGUCGACUCAUUCACAGGGUUUUCGAGAUUGGUUCUCUGCCUUUCAGACUGCUUUCCUCUGAAAGUCGACUCGGAUAUAACUAGGAGUCGACUCGCCAAACAUUGGAGUCGACUCGUAACCUUCUAGAGUCGACUCGGUAACAGGGUCUAAAAUCCAUCGUUCUAUGAUUCUGUCUGUUAUCCUUUGGAGUCGACUCGAAACCGUCAGGAGUCGACUCGGCAAGCAUCGGAGUCAACUCGAAAUCUUUUGGAGUCGACUUGCUGAUAGGGUCUGAAACUCUUCUUUCUGUCUUUCUGUCUGUUUUCAGUCGGAGUCGACUCGAGCUUGUGCCAGAACCUUUAAACCACUCGGAGUCGACUCGUAAUCUUCCGGAGUCGACUCGGGAUGCAGACUUUGGUUCAAAUUGAGUCCAAUACUUAUCCAAAUUACUUUGAACCAGAGCUUAAGGCACUUAACUAGAAAUUCACACAUAUUUGCCUGAAAUACUAGAUUGAAUUCAUUAGUACAACAUAAAAUAUACUCAAAUGCUUUGAGCUCAUCAAAAUCAAAUAGGGGUUUACUCAAUCACUCCACAAUCUCCCCCUUUUUAUUGAUAACAAAACAUUGAGUAUUUGUAAAGUGAAUUGCUCAAUCAAGUAGUGAAUUGUAGUAUGGUUUCGAAAUGAAUUCAAAUGUCUAGUCAUUUAGUGUAUCCAAAAUUGAAAAGNNNNNNNNNNNNNNNNNNNNNNNNNNNNNNNNNNNNNNNNNNNNNNNNNNNNNNNNNNNNNNNNNNNNNNNNNNNNNNNNNNNNNNNNNNNNNNNNNNNNNNNNNNNNNNNNNNNNNNNNNNNNNNNNNNNNNNNNNNNNNNNNNNNNNNNNNNNNNNNNNNNNNNNNNNNNNNNNNNNNNNNNNNNNNNNNNNNNNNNNNNNNNNNNNNNNNNNNNNNNNNNNNNNNNNNNNNNNNNNNNNNNNNNNNNNNNNNNNNNNNNNNNNNNNNNNNNNNNNNNNNNNNNNNNNNNNNNNNNNNNNNNNNNNNNNNNNNNNNNNNNNNNNNNNNNNNNNNNNNNNNNNNNNNACAUAAACUGAAGGAGGGUUAAAAAGAGUUAAGAUUACUACUGAACUAUCAGCUUCAGCACUAUAGUACUGAAGACAAACCAAACUGCAUGACGUCUUAAACUUAUCAGCGAUCAUUGAAAGGGACCAUGUUUCUCAAGAGUUUGACCCUCCCUUUUAUCUAUCAAGCAAGCUGCACUGAAUACGAGUUGGUUCCCAGAAUGACAUGCUUAGUCUACGUACGCAACAGCAGUUGCUUUGGAAUAUGUUGGAUAUAACACUGCUAUUUAACUUAUGAUGUAUAAUCAAUCUCCCUUGGCGUGCCAGAACUUAUAUUAGCCGCAAAGUGUUCAUGUCACACGGCCUUCCACACAGGAACCAACAUUUUCAAAGGAGGUUGCAGUUCCUGCAGGUUUCAUUCAAGCUCUUUAAAAAUUAUAGCAGCUGCCCAGAAUGCUUGACGUAGUAAUGUACUUAUGAAUAAUGAGACAGAGAACAAACAUUUACCUUAAAAAAAGUAACAUAAGUUCAUCAUGCAGAAUCAAAGCCAAACUCCAGCAAGAAGGUACACGAGUCACUCAUUCAUUUAGCACUGUCCCCAGAAUAUUCACAAUUGGGACAUAGUGGUGCACAAUCCUCCCACUUAAUUAGAAAAAAGAAAAAAUUGGUGUUAGAAAACCAUGUAAUAAAAGAAGCAUGUCUGUAAGUGCAGGAUGGUGGCUGAUCCCAAAAAAUGAAGGCACUGUGUAUAACAUGAAGUAAUGGUUCAAAAGUAUGGCCAUGUAGAACCGUCAAUUAAGUAAAGGUGGCAUCAUGACCAUAAUUCUGUUAGAAGCCUACUAAUAGAAGAUGGUAAUAGUGUAUAUACGUUUUCAAACUAUGACUAGCAGUAUUGCUGUUUCUUCCUUAAUAAUGUCAAACUGAAGCAGUGCAAAUUGGAGCAUAUGGAAAAUGGAAAAUGGAAGGAUUUAAAUGCAAUAUGAACAUGAUACAAAGAAGUUAACACUAUAUGCAUAAGAUCACCAUUGCUGCAGGAUAGGCAGAUUGCAUUCAAUCACUUCUCUAAAUUCACUAUGAAUUGAGAUUAUUGCUUGGAGAGCUAAAUCAAUAUGAUAUUUGAUAAUAAAAUCAACUAAGUGCAGCAACACGAUAAAGUAGGAGAAAUGAAAGUCACACGUGAUAAUGAUGGUGGACAAAGUUGCAGUUGAUCUCAAUAAACUCAAUCAGUUUAAACUAAACUCAUUUAUAUAGCCAUUGUCUCAUCAUACUAAGGGGAUGUUAACAUGGAGGUGUGCUUCCCUAAAUAUAUAUAAAAAAGUAGACUCGGAGAGUUAAACAAAAGUCAAUGAUCUUUUAUUUAUUUAAUAAGUCAGAGAAAAAUAAUAUUGUUACAACUAUAUAUUGCUGAAAUUAACCUUUUUAUCUUGAUUGCAAAAAAGAGGUAUAAAUCAACUAAUCACAGAAAAAUAUUUAUUUUUUUUAUGCCAGACCAAUAUCAGUUUGGAAUGCAUGAUCUAGAUAAAAGUAUAAAAAAUUCUUCUGUAGACAAAGUUCGAUCUCCUAGAAUCUGUCUUAAAUGGAUGGAGGAAGAGGCUGAGUGCAACAGUAAGACUCCUAUUUAUCUGUUACAUGAAAUUAAAGGUUCUCAAAACUUUCUGUGCUCUCUUAACAGCCACAGAAAUAACUGCUACAGUCACACAGUACUAUUAAUUUGAAAUCCAAGCUGUCUAGAAGUAAGGAGCCUCAGAGGUGUGUAUUGUUGGUUACCAUGUACUUUGGAUCAAAGCAUUGACUUUGAUAAACAAAAUUGAUUAAAUAAUUAUAAUGAUGAAAAGAAAGAAAGAGAGGACUGCAACACAAUGCAAGCUUCCAUGUACAUCAAAACUCACCUCCAAAAAUGAGUUUCAAGUGGCACUCCAAAUGUUCGCAUAAUCACCGCAUACUCUGUAUGAUUCAAACGAGUUCUUAAAAUCAGCAAACAAGAUCUGAGCGGAAAAUACUUGCAUCAUUACUAUCUAUAUAAACUAAAAGAGAAUAAAACUAAGAAUGGACUUCUAUUGAUGUCAACCUAACACAUAGGCAAGUACAACAAACUGAAACCAUUUAAAAUGUGGCCCAUCAUUUCAAUAGAAUGUAUAAGAUGUACUCAAUCACACCACACAUUUGAUAUAAGGCAUGUUGGUUACUGUUCACUGCAACACCAGAUACUAUAACAAAGGAAUAUAGUACACAACUUAUUUUGGCUUCUACAAUAUGCUUAGUUAAUUCAAGAAGAGGAGUGAUAUCAAGUGCGGAGCAAGACAGACUUGUUCAGCAAAACCACCAUGACAAGGUUUCAACAUAUCACCUUUUUUAACUGGCUUGGACUGCAUACAUUUGGCAAGGAGAGAACCCGACAGAGUAGUCCAAAAAGAGCUGAUAGACAAAUUUUCUUGUUGAAGUCAUGCCAUAAACGAACUUCAUAGCAAUGACAGCAGUGUUGUACUAGCACACUUAAGCAAGACUAUGCCUAUGAUAUCUUAAAACUAGUUUGGGCUUAUAUUAUGGCAGUACAGUCAUAGGUCUCAUUCCACAAAAUGCAAUGAUAAGGCAAAUGGUACAGGAAUGCAGCAGAGUGAUAACUCGGUACCUUUACCAGUAAAGUACGACAGCUAAUAGCAAAAAUAUGAGGAUGCAAGCAUAUAAUAAAAGAACUCAUGUUUUUCUCCUCUCGAUGAAGAUAUCAUGAACAUCAAUUACUAGAAGGCUGCGUCUGGUCGUGAUGAUUCCAACUGUAUUUGUUAUGAGAAACUGAAAGAUAAGGCAUGCUAUACCGCUCAAUGUAGACCCAGAUUAGACUACCUCUAGCUUAUACUGGUGCCAUGUAUAACGGCAAAAGGUUGAGAAUGAAUUAAAAAUUAUAAUCCAACAGGUCUUUUCUCAAAGCUUCUAUUAAAAUAGCUCGCUGGAUAAAGAAAGGCAGUGAUAUUUCUAGGAUAUGAUCUGCUUGAGAAAAGCACUUAGCAAUUCCAAAUUAAUAGAAUUAUAUUUAGAUAUAACGCAUACGUGCAUAAAAAGUUAUAAGUUUAAUACAAAUACUAUCUUAUUAUGAAAUAGUGAAUAGCUACAGAUAACAUGUGAAGAAUCACCAAAUUACUUUUGUCAGAAUUCAAAUACUAUAGAAAUAAUAGCAAGCUGGCAAGUGGCAACAUCAGCAGAAGUAAUCAAGGAAAUGAUAUAGAACCAACUUUGCUGUGAAAGUGUUGAAAUGGUAGAUUAUAUAAUUUAGAAAGAACAAUUUUCACAUUAUAAGCAUUCAUCAGUGAUCAAAUAAAAUAAAUACUAGCUACCUAAGAUGGCAUAAACAAGUUGCCAAACAACAUUAACAUUUCACACUACUGGUCAAUGACCGUCAACCAAACAGGCACAAUCAUGACAUCUAUAAUGCAUGUAUUACAUUGAUAUAAUAAUACUCAGUGCACCAUUUUAUCAUUUAAAAAGUGUCAUGCCUAAGACUUUAUAUUUAACACAGCAAAUUAAGCAGAUAACCUGUAACAAAUUUAAGGAUUUAUGUAAGCUCCUAUAUGGCAUUCACCUAUUGGCCAAGUUAGAGUUAGAGAGAGAGAGAGAGAGAGAGUUUCAACCCACAAUAUAAUCUAGUAGAUUAAGUGUUUUCUAGGUAGAAUACAUAAUAUGCAAAAUAACAGUGUAAUACAUAAUUUUUAUGUUGUGCGAAGGAGAAAGACAUGACCAAGUCAAGAAUAUAAGUCUCAGUAGAUUAAUCCAUAGGAUAAAUGCAUGCGGUACCAUAACUCAACAUAAGAAGAAAAGUACAAGAGCUGAUGCGAAAAUUAUUGUAUAACUAGCUGAAACCUUACUGAUCUUCAGGUUAUAAGUAAAUCACUCUUGCUACAAGUACCACCUUCCUUGCUUACAAAGGACAGGGCGGACAAACCAGGAGAUUUGAGCUCAAAGUGGUUUCCCUUUUAACUUAUAUAAGGUUACAAAUUUUGGAUUUUCUUUAAGCCCUCAAAGACAGUUAAUUUGCUCUAUAACACAACUAUGGUGACUGUAAUAAGAUUUCCAUAGCCUAUAACCAAUAAAAGAAUUAACACUAUUGCUAGUCAGAAUAGGAGAAGAAUUUCCCAGAUAGUCCACAAAGGCUUGCUGCAAUGGCCAGCCUACAGCCCUCUUAAUCAAAUCUAGUCCUCAAGAACACCUAUGCAGUUGCCAACUAGCCAAACAACUGCUCCUGACUGUCCUACUUUGACUUCCAAACUAAAACCUGCCUGAAUCAAAAGAAAAAAGAAAGAAACAAGGAAGAAAAGGGAAUAUAAAUAAGAAGUCCAAGAAGUCCGAUCUGAAAACAAAAUGACACCUAACAAGACAAUUAGUCAUCUAGAGAACUAAACAUAGAGUACCAACUUGAUGCCUCAUUUAAAAUCCUAGGGGUUAGACCACAUUAAAGAGAUAGCUAAAUAUAUUAAAAAAAAUCACACAUCUUGAAAGAAGCAGAUGAAUCAAUGUCAAAUAAAUCAGUAAAAGACAAGAUCAGGUUCAAAUGUAAUUACAGAUAUAGUAACUAAUAAAAAUCACAAAAAUUAUUACAUUAUGAUGGUGAUGCAGAGUCAUUUCAAUACAAAAUACACACACAGUUCUCAUUCAAGCAGAUAAAAAGUGACAAGCUUUCCUUGUAUAGUAUCAUGACUUUAGCACUUUGAUGACAUAUGGAUAUCUCCUCAAAGCUGGCAUAUGAAAAGAAAUGAAAAAGAAAGCGAUAUUAGCAAGUAAAAUAACAUCCAAAUUCAACACUCUUAGGACGUGUUUUCUUAAUCACAAAGUAAAUUCUAAUAAAAGAAAUUUGCUCUUCAUAUAUUUCUCUUUCUAAUUUGACCUAUCUGAAUGUAGCUACAGCUGAACCUUCCCUUAUCAAUUAAUCAAUCAAAACUUGGAGGAUGUAUCAAAUCUUAUGAUAACUAGAAUUGUUAGCUAAGUUCAAAUAUGACUCAAAUAAUUCUAGAAUUCAGUGACGUAUUUACAAUGACUUGUAUUUAGAAUCCUGCACACAUCCACAGCUUACUUCUAGAACAUACACUGAAAGAUAAAAUGCAAGGAUAAUGAAUACAGAAACAUAGAGCAUGAAUAGAUGAGCCUCUUAACAUAAUGCACUAACCUAAAUUGCUAAUUAUUGUCCCAAUAAAUUCUGAACUCUGAACUAUCUCUUGGUUAUUGAUUUGUCAACUGUCUUGGCAACUAGAAAAAUAUGGUCUAACUUUAUUCCAUAAACAAAUUCCCUGAUGAAAUACUAUAUGACCAUCAACUAGCCAAAAGAAGCAUUCCAUGAACUGAUUCGGUUCUGCAUUCUAACAUGCCUGAGGCAGCUAUCACUAAAGAGAUAUAACUAUCAUAGCCAAUAUAAGCAGCUAAAAUUUUAGAGGAUAGUAAAACACUACUUUACAUCUAAUGAGAAAAAUCAUCACUUACAACUGCAGAGAAAAAAGUAGAAUUGGACGCCAAGCUCAAAAGUGCCACCCAUUAGCACGCCAAAAGCUCUGUGCAUUUGCAUUAACUCGUGCAUCUUUGACCUUCAGAAAGAGCUUGUAUGCAGUCUCCACCUUAUUCAUCUCCAGCAAUUUGCUGUUCAGUUUGCUACAAACAACCUUUCCAAGACAAAAGCCUUUUUGCAGUGACUCCUCCACCACAAGCACAGCAUUGUCAACCUGCCCUAUAUUGCAAAGUCCAUUGAUGAUAUACUCAUAAACCUCCUUAUCAGAAGCAUAACCACUCUCUUGCAUCUCCUCCCAGAUCUUCAGCACCAUCCCGCAUUUACCGAACCUUGAAAGCCUCAUCAGCAAAAGCUUAUAAGCUUUCAUUGACAAUUUACAACCUACUUUUUUACUCUUUUUAUAAAUCAUCAUAGCAGCAUGAGGAGGCCCAAAACUACACAAAGGCUCGAUGAAAUCAGUAAUCAUGCCAGUAUUAGGGAGAAUUCCUUGGUUCAACAUCUCAUCAAACAUUUCAAGAGCAUCUGCCACCCUUCUAACUUUCAGGAAAGCACUAAUCAAUUUGUUAUAUGUAUGAAUAUCUGGCAGACAAUUCUUUUCAGACAUAUCCUUGUAGUAUUGAAUACACUUAUCCAAAUCUCCAACUGAAAUAAAAUUAGAAAUCAUCGCAUUAUAAGCCAUGGUAUCUGGAGCACAACCAUUCUCCUCCAUCUUCUCAAAGACAUGAACAGCAUCAUCAGUCUGGCCAGCUCUUCCUAAUGCCUCAAUAAGGUGACUAUAUGUAACUGUAUCAGGGUUCAAUCCUUCAGCCAUCAUCAUUAUCCAAUAACUCUCUAUUUUGUCAACUCUACCAAACUUGGCCCAUCCACCGAUAAUUUCAUUAUAUGACAUGUUAUCGGAGGGUAAUUUUCCUUUCAUUCUGUUAAAUAAAGAGCUAGCAACCUUGGCAUGAGACCGACGACAGAGACACUUAACCAGUAUAUGGAGUGACUCCGAAUCAGAUUUAGCUCCAAUCUCUUCCAAUCUAUUGAAAAAUUUAACUGCUUUAAAAACUUGUCGAGCCCUCACAAAGCAAUCCAUUACGAUCUCUAAAGUUUCCGAAUUGGGUUCGAUCCCAUUGUUCUUCAUCUGAACCAAUAUUUCUUCCAUAAACUCGAAAAAUUUUCUUCUUCCCAACGCCUUCAGCAUUACAUUAUAGGUUUCAACGCAAGAUGACAUAUUUGGCUGCUCUACUGCCCAAUUAAAGAACAAAACCAUCGCCGCACCUCCUAAAUUUCCCCUAUUCAAUACAUUUACGAAGACAUCCGCCGUGACAUCAACACCGGCCGAUGACAGGGCGGAUUCGACAGCGGAUUUCCCUCUGAGCUUCUGAAGGAAAACCCCUCUGAGCUUCUCAUCAGCCGAGAGGAGGCGAUCCCCAACCCAUGUUGGGGUCGAUUCUCGAGCUGGAUUCGCCGCAAAAGCGCGAGGAUUCGAGGGUUUAAGGUCGAUCGGGAGGAGAUCGGAGAGCUCUUCGAGGACGAAUCGCUCGGAGACCGUGGCACGCGAUGGUUCGAGGGCACUCGAAGCCUCCUCGAGGAGAUCUAUGGAGAGAAAUCGAGCGGAGGAAGAGGGAGAGAGAGGGUACCUGGUUGCAUGGAGAGGGCGGAGAAACCCUAGAAAUCUUAAGUUUCGAAACGCCAUGGGAGGAGGAGAAGAGAGAUCGGUCGCAGUCCCUCAGCUGAUAGCGCCCCGGUAAUAGAUAGUCAGAGAGCGUCCAACCGCUGCGGAAGUCCUUCCAAACAACUGCUUAAUUAGAAAUGUUAAAAGUCUGUGGAGGUGAAAGGUAAAAUAUCUGAACUAGUUUCGUCGUCGGGCUUGCCGAGGCUAAACAUCUGUGAAGAUCUAUCGAGACAGCCGCUUUACGAAAAUAUUAUUAUGUAAAGGGGUUAUAUGUAAAAUAAUUGCUCAAACUAAAUUGCAACGCCUAGCAAGGCCGCUUGUCAAGACUAGCUCAAGCUCAGUCUAAGGACUCUUACAUAUAACACCCUACAUAGAGUACAUAUUGCGUAUAAGCUUCUAGUAAACAAGUCAUCUGGAUAGCCUUGAACAUAGAUAUUAAUAUUUUAUGGUCGUUAUAUGUAAUAAGUGUUUAAACCAAAUUUGAACUAGUACCGUCAGGCUGGUUGCCGAGACUAGUUGAAAUUUAGUCUAAGCCCUUGUAACUCAUAUAGUGUACAUAGAAUAGGAGCUUGCCAGGCAAAGCAUAUUUUACUUAGUUUGGGAUUUUGAGGCCUUGUGGCUUUUCGAGGCUAGUGCUUCAGCUCAAAUGAUAGAUAUGCAAGCAUGAUUACUUAUAUAUUGUUCUAUAUCUCCAUGAAUUUAGAAAUUUUUGCUUGUAUUGUAUCAUUUGAUCUACGUACCGGAACUGAUAAUAUUCAAGAUUAUGCAUGAUUAUACAUGAAAGAUUCUUUUUGGCUCUUUCUUCAACCCUAUAUCUUUUAUCCCUAGGGNNNNNNNNNNAGAUCUACUACGUAUAACUCCGUACGCAGUGUAAGGGUUGUGGAUAAGUUAGAAAUCAUAACGAUAAGAACGUCUAUUUCUACCAAAUCCGAAAUUGGGAGUAAAGGCGAAGUUGAUUGCUGGGAUUAAUUCGAAUUUAGUGCAGGGUGUUCCACGAACUACCAUGUCCAGGCUGUAUGCAAUCAGUUGUACCCCAUGCAGGUUGGCUGAAGAAUGGUACAUGCAAAAUUUUGACCACAUUCAUUUUAAUUUUGAUUUAGUGGUUGGAAGUAGAAUCUUAAUUAGAGGGAUUUGUAUUGACAUGGGAUCUAUAACGUAUAAACACUGAGAAAUAUAGUACUUUUAUUUUAUUUUUUUUAUGAUCAUGAGCAUAGUACCCUUGUUAAUGGAUUAUAUGGUGAUAGAUUGACGGUACUUUAUUAAAAUCUCAAUCGAAAGCGAAAAAUAGUCUAUGGCCUUCCUAUGGUCACAGAUAUGUAUACAGAUCUAUUAACAUGGGUACACUGCACGAGAAAUCUCCCCAAAAUCAAACUAAUCUCAUGAGAUGCAACUUCUGCUAUACGGUAUGACAAGCGUUUUAGAAAAAAAAAACAGCAAUGAGAUAUCAGGGAAGGCUAAAAUGUACAUGAUGGUUCGGUAAAAUGAGAAACUAAUCCCAUAGCAUUACUUUUCGAAAUAAGGGUGUAAAACGUACAUGAUGGUUUGGUAAAAGGCUAAAACUAACACAUAUCGGGGAAGAGAGAACGUGUGAGACGAUAAGAAAGAUAUUGAGGAUAAGAAAGAUAAUGAAGAUGAUCUUAGAUUACACAUAUUUUAAUAAAACCGCCAGGGUCAAACUCAAGUAUAGGUCAAUAAAGAUCCUCUGGCUUGUUGCGAGGAGGGAAUGUUGGUAGUUUGCCUGGCUCAAAGUACCAUUUGUCUCCUGCUUUAGAAGAGCAGCCCGAAAGCGAAGUGAUGUUCCUAUGGUUUCAGUCUCAACUUUGAACAGCGACCAUUAAAGACUGGUACAGCCGAGACAGAACAAUAUGAUUCUAUUAUCACAGCUUGAAGAACAAAGGAAUAUCCAAUAGCUUCCAUUCCAUGAUCUGCUGGUACAGGCAUGAACAAUAUGGCUCACGUAUGGAUAAUACAAAGAACUAUAUAUACUCAUGCAACAGGGACUGAAAGAUGCAACAAAAUAUGACCAGGGAUUCAUCAGUAAAAUUGGAGUGAGGCCAAUAGCAGGGAAAUUCCCAAGAGAUGCUGAACUUGAACAGUUAAACCUAACCGAACUAACAAAAUGUUGGCGCCGUGGGAUCCUUCCAACAAGUCAUAAUCUAAUGAUUUAUUUACUCAGUGACCACAAUAUCCAGCACAUACAGAUUGAAGAAUUUUCAUGCAAUAGUAAUUUGGUUUCUUCAAAUGAAGCUGCUCCAUUCAGAUACCAGAAAAUAUGCAUAUCAACGCUGAGCAGCUAUAUUGACAAACAUUUUGAUUUCAAGGCAAAUAAAGUAUUCUGAUAAGUGACUUGAAACCAAAAAUUCAUAUCAACAUCAUGGUCAUCAAACAAACAACCAAAUGGCUGUAAUGAUCAAAUACUAAAUAGAACUGCUAAACACAAAAACUUGAAAUAAACUACAAAUAAGUCUUGUAAUAUUUUUAAGCAUCCCGAGACACUUGAUUUCUCAUGAACAGAAAAUUGACAUUAGCUCAGACUUCAGAUAACUCCUCUCUAGAUGAUACUACAUAUGAGACCAUAUAACCUGUUGAAGUUGAGCUUCACUUCUUUGCUUUCUUAGGUGCCCUACAACAGAGACAUAGUGUCAGCACUCAAUUCUUCAGUGUUACACUUCGAAGUGGCUGAAGCAAAUUAUAAACAAAAAAUGCAUAUAAAGUUCUUACUCUGCAGGUUGAGAGACUGGUGCUGCUACUGGUGCUCGCUCAACUGGACCCUGUUUACAUUAUGGGCAAAUAAAGGUGGAAGUCACAAUCAUGUUAAGAAUAAUGGUUGAUUAAAAAUGUUCGCUUUUGGUGCAUGCAAAUCUUCUUUCAAAGGAACCUAAAUCAGCUUACAAGUAACCCAACAUAUUACACUAUGGAUCAAAUGCUACCGAGUUACAAAAAUAAUUGACUUAUCAUGCAUCCAACCACUGACUGCAAAAAUUCCAAAUCCACAGAAUAGCAUUCUUCCUUAGGUCACCAACCAAGGGUGAUUGGUAGGUGAGAAAAUAAGUACUCAACAGGUUUUUCCACAGCUUAUUCUCAAACCAACACUUGUUACACUUCAAAAGGUAUUUGUUCAAUAUGAAAACCUUUUGCGAAAAAGAUUUCUACAAUUAAAAUUUUCACCUACAACUGAGAGACAUGGAAAGUGUUCCUCAUCAUCACCUUUAAUCUUAACUCACUUCUUUCACUAUCGAAUACCAACAAUGUAGCUAAAUUAACGGUUUAGCACAAUAAGUUAAUAAAAAUGGUUCUUAAGCAAGCCAAUAAGUGCUGAUCCCCUCAGCCAAUGAGAGACAUUUACUGUAAGUUAAUAAAAAAUAAGUUCAUAGUAUACAAGUUGUUUGCUGCUAAAGAAUUAGAGCAGCUAGUUGUGUGAACUAACAAGCAGAAAUCCUGCCAACAACUGGCAGUAGAGUUGGUUGGCAUCUCACCCUCACGGGCUUACCCUUAGGAUUCAAAUCCUAGGUAACGCUCAACAACAAAAAAGAAAAAGGCAGGAACAUCUUUUUCCCCUAUAGAUGAAAGAAACACCGCAUUUGAUCAUAAAUUUCAAUAUUCAGAUAUGCAGACUUCAUAAAGACACAAAUUAACGUGAUUUUCAUCUCACCUGAGCCAAGCGCUCCUCUCUCCUAGCAAACUUCCUCUCUCUGCUUGCCUUGCUCUUGGCCCGUUUGGCUUCAAACUGGUCAGACAAAGUCUUCUCUCUUGCCUUCUCAGCCUUGGACUUGUGAAUACUCUCCAUAAGCACCCUCUUGUUCUUGAAGACAUUACCUUUCACUUUCAUAUACAUGUCAUGAUACAUGUGCUUGUCAAUCUUCUUUGAUUCCCGAUACUUCCGAAGCAAACGCCUCAAAACUCGCAUUCUCCUCAUCCACAGAAUCUUGGUAGGAAGCCUAGCCUCCCUAGUACCCCUGCGCUUACCUGAAGAAUUAACAAAAUAUUAACUAAAGAAACAUUAAUGAAACUAGACAUGUGCUUGCACUUUUCCAUCACUUACCAUAUCCAGAGUGGCGUCCCUUCCUCUUGGCCUCCAAAGCUCGCCGUGCACGAGAUCGAGAGUGGAUCUUCAUGGGCUUCCUGAUAAUGAAUCCAUCCUUGACCAACUUUCUAAUAUUUUGGCCUGCAUUUCAAAGCAAAAAAGCAGCAUUUUCAAUGGUGAAUAACGAAUAAUAUUUCAUUAACAGGAAUAUGUUUUAAUUCAAAAAAUUAUGGCAAUCAUGACCAGAAAUCUAGGAAAACCACAGCUUCGGAAAGAAACCAUUUGACAAAAAAAAUAGGCAAGUGAACGGAGUUUCCUUUUAUCUUGUUGAGCCAAUUUAUGCGGUUGUAAUGAAAAUUAAUUUCUAGUUUGUCAGAUCAAUUUGUGGGUUUGUGAUAUAAAGAAUAACCCAACAAAGACCAUACUUUUUCAAAUUCUAUAAGUAUUUUACCCUUACAUUCAAUUAACCGCAUUAACUAUGUGGCAAUUGAAGAUGAUAAUUGCUUAAUAUUUUCUAAUUUACUUUGAUAAGUUUCCAAGAGAGGAGUAAGGUAGUACUACAAAACAUGAAUAUUAACUUACAGUUUCCUCCUGCAUCAAUAUGUAUCUUGAAAAUAUUAACUACCCACUUGACAAUAUUAUUAAGCAUGUAAAUGGAAAAUAAUAUGUAGCAAAAAAAAUAAAGAUCAUGAUACGUCAUGUGACAUAAUUCAAGGAAUCACAGGUAAGUUAAAUAUUACUGCAAGCCAAGCGCUCCUCUCUCCUAGCAAACUUCCUCUCUCUGCUUGCCUUGCUCUUGGCCCGUUUGGCUUCAAACUGGUCAGACAAAGUCUUCUCUCUUGCCUUCUCAGCCUUGGACUUGUGAAUACUCUCCAUAAGCACCCUCUUGUUCUUGAAGACAUUACCUUUCACUUUCAUAUACAUGUCAUGAUACAUGUGCUUGUCAAUCUUCUUUGAUUCCCGAUACUUCCGAAGCAAACGCCUCAAAACUCGCAUUCUCCUCAUCCACAGAAUCUUGGUAGGAAGCCUAGCCUCCCUAGUACCCCUGCGCUUACCAUAUCCAGAGUGGCGUCCCUUCCUCUUGGCCUCCAAAGCUCGCCGUGCACGAGAUCGAGAGUGGAUCUUCAUGGGCUUCCUGAUAAUGAAUCCAUCCUUGACCAACUUUCUAAUAUUUUGGCCUUAAGAAAUAGAACAAAGCUGCUGGCAUAAAAAAAGGUUGAGCUAAAACAGUUUCAAGGCUCUUAAAUGAUACGAACGUUUUUCAAACAUGAGAAUUUAGUCCUUCUGCAAACAACAUCAGUCAUCUGCAGAACAGCUUCAAGUUCAUAUUAACCAACGAGCACUAACAAUAGAGCCUAUCAUUCACAUGGCACCAUGAAUGUUCGAACCCCAGUAAAGCACAUAACAACAUGCCACCAUGUGUGUUAACUAAGUCAAUCAAAUGAGUCAUCCCUUGGCGGCAGGUAAGGCAAAGAAGGGGGAAGAUAGAACUACUACACUAACUACGGUGCCACAUCAUUUCAGCUAAAAAAUCCAUGCCUUUUCAAUUCCACCCAUCAUUUAGUUGAAACAAUGAUAAUACUAUUUAAUCUUUCAAUAUUCAACUUCCUAGUAAACACCUAUGCAUAGGAUCCCGCUGUGCCCACCUCAGCCUUACCCAACGAAAAGAAGUUUCUCACAUAACAGUAAAACACUUCUUUUCUAGUGUGCUUACAUAUAAACGAUAUCAAAACACUUGUUUUUUACCGAAUAACGACGUUGAGAAACGAAAACGUAUAUACCCAGUAAUCAAAACAAAGCAAUCAGUAAAGAACACUCAAAACCCCUGAUCCCUUAACCGGCAUCGAAAUCAAAAGGGACCUAGCCUCAACAUCAAACAACAUCAGAUUUACUUAUUUUAGCCUACAACUGCACCUAGAAACCAAAAAAUCACGCAAAUCCAUUCAUCAUAAGCGAAAUUGAAGCAAAUACAAGUACAAAAACAUACACAGAUCCAUCAUCAUCACCAUCGACAACAACAACAAAACAACAAAAAUGAUCCACAUCAAGCAUCCGCGAUCAUCUCAGAUCGAGGGAUCGUCUCUUAAGCCCUAGCCCUAACCCUACUCCUAGAAGAAGGCAAAGAGCUUACGAGAAUUGGCCAUGGAGAUUUCGUUGACUUCAUUGGGAUCCAACCAAACUUUCCCUCGCCCGCACUUGAGAACGCUGGAGGCGAGCCGCUUUUGGAGUUUGAGCGACACCAUCGCUCUCCUGUCUCUUGCUGUGUUACCUCUGAGGAGAGGAGGGAUUGGGGAAAUGCGGCGAUGGAGUGGGGGUUUUAUACGCGGGGGACGGUGCGCUAGGGUUGGAGACCCUUGCCCUAGGUUAUUUGGGCCGCAACUUUGAUGGUCCGAUUAAUGGACUACAAAAAAUGGGUUGACUCCGGCUCUUUCAUUGCGUCGCUCAAGCACAGGCCCGGGCCCAUUUAUUCUUGUUAAAGAAGCUUUAGAAUGGUAGUCUUUAUUUUAUUUUUAUUUAUUUUAUCUUUUUUAAGAGAGAGAGAGAGAGAGAGAGAGAGAGAGAGANNNNNNNNNNNNNNNNNNNNAGAGAGAGAGAGAGGGGGGACAACUGUGAAGAACCGUGCAGACGUGUGUUUAGUCCCACAUCGGUUAUUUUGCUGGAUAAAUCUUGGGUACUUAUGUAGGAUCAUAGAACCUAAAAAAAUACUUUCCAGCUAGUCUUUUUGGAUGAGGUUCUCGGUUGUUUACAAAUGGCAUCAAAGCAGACUCGGCCCAUAACCUAUGUAGAUUAGGGGACACUGCAGCAAGGAUUCAUUGGGAUUGACUACGGGACAAUCGUGGUAUUUGUGAUUAGAUUUGAAUGGAUUUGAACUUUUAGCCCGACAAGGACGUCAGGGCUUAAAUGGGGAAAGUAUAUGAGGAACCAUGCAGGCAUGAACCCAAAAAAAUACCUUUUGACUAAUCUUUUUGAGUGAGGUUCUAGAUUGUUGUAGCGAUAGCAAGGAUUCAUUGGGGUUGACUGCGGAACAAUCGUGGUAUUUGUGAUUAGAUUUAAAUGGAUUUGAACUCUUAGUCCGACAAGGACGUCAGGUCUUAAACGAGGGAAGUAUGUGAGAAACCAUGCAGGCGUGAACCCAAAAAAAUACCUUUUGACUAAUCUUUUUGAGUGAGAUUCUAGAUUGUUAUAGCAAUAGCAUGUGCGGGUGGUUUGGCCAAUAGAGAUGCCCGUUUAGUCUUCAGAAAGAAGGUUUAGAAUGUGAGCCUUUAUUUUAUUUUGUUUAUUUUUUAUUUAUUUUAUCCUCCUAAGAGAUAGAGGGGGAGGGGGAAAUAAUAUGUGAGAGUGGUUUGACCAGUAAAGAUGAAUCGGCUAAAUGCAUCAGUAUUGUCACAAAGUGAAUUUUGUAGUUUGGUUGAUAUUCUGAGUUGUACAUCUUAUUUCCAGCAUUAUGGUGGUAAUCAUAUGGGUCGCACGUCAUAUCAAGAAUCAAGUAUGUGUAAAAUUGAUGCGAUACAUGGAGUUAGUAGAUGUGUUCAUACUUGCCUGAUGAUUUAAGCAGUUGAUAUUUGGAAGUCAAAGGUGGGGCUAGGCCUUUUUAUACAGGGAACAAAUUUAACUAAAAAAUAAUUAAAAAAAAAGGCUAGAUUGGUGUCAGGACUUAACUUUUGAAUCAUCUUGAAGCAUACCAUUAACUCAUUUUUGUGAUGGCAAAGAGGCAAAGUAGGUCUUUUGUAGCAUGAACUCUUUAUUUUCAUUAUAGAUCCAAAUAUAACAUAGAGCUGUCUUUGAGAUUAAUAAUUUUUAUCCAUGUUGAGGGGAGCAUGAUAUGUAUAUCUGCACAAAGAAAGGGAGGUAGAUGAUCUUUAUCCAUAUCAGCAUCAUUGUUUUCUUGAUGGAACAUGUAUGUGUGAGAGAGAUAGAGAGAAAGAUAUAUAUUUUCUGUUUUGUGCAUAUAUACUUCAUCCAUAUAUAGUUCAUAUAAUAUAUUGUCUGUUUAACUGUAAUUAAUUGAUGGCAUGUUGGCAGUCUCACUUCUGAUCAUGAAUACAGUUACUGAUUAGAUGUAAUAUUCUAAACUAUAUAAUUUAAAUGUCUUUGGUAAUGCACUUUUGCUUUUGCAUCCAUCAUUUUCUCUCCUUUAUUUUCAGAAAUAGAAUGAUUGCAAUUUAGAAAAAGUGAAAAAAAGGAAUUGUUACCAAGUGUAAAAGAGCGGAAAGAUUUAUAUAUAUAUAAAAAAAUCAGUGUUGAAGUAUAAUAUAUAGCUUUCCUUGUCCUGCAUCCAAACUAGGCCUCAGAGUUCUUUCCUUCGGUUUAGUAUAAUAUAUAGCUUUAGAUGUGAAUGAUAAUGGUAAAGUUAAUAUAAUUUUUAGCAUCUAGUCCCAAAAAGGAUACUUCUUUUGAAAUUCAUGCAAAUUAAUUUUUGUAUCUUCUAAUGAAAUUUAUUUUUAAAAAUGAAUCAGUUAGCAACGAACUAUAAUAAAUGGUCAGAAAUAUCAUAUUAACUAAGAUUUGGUUGAUUGAUCGUACAUGAUACUUAAAGAGAUUAUAUUUGACCACAUAUCAAUUAUGUAAGCGGCCACAUUUGAAUGGUUGAUUAAAUUGAUUAUCAAUUAUAAUCAAUUUAAUUACAUCUUGAUGAACAACAUUUCAAUUGAAAACCAUCUAGGCCUGCUGCUUUAUCUGAUAACAUCUCCUUGAUUACUGUAAAAACGUCCCCAUCUUGCACCAUGGAUACAAGCAUGGAAGGGAGCUCUACUGGGCAUUGAAACCGUGAAUUCCAUUUAUUAAUGAAGAAGUCCCUGAAAACUCUCCUUAUUUCCUCAAGUUCCAAACAAAACCAUCUACACUGACAAAAGUAGUGAUUUUAUUCCUGUUCCUUCUCAAUAUAGUAUACCUAUGGAAGAAAACAGGCAUUAGCAUUCCCUCGACAAAGCCAGGUAACUCGUGAUCUUCUGCUUCCACAAUUGCUUCCCGUUGUCUUCAGCAGUUUGUCAUAGGUCUGUAAUAGAUGCAAUAAUUUCAGAUGAUCCUCAGAACUUAGUCCAAUUUCCUCAGCUUAUUGAUUCUGCAUUUUAAAGAUUUUGGCCUCUAUAACACCAAUCUUUCUAAAUGUAUUCGCCAAAUAUUGUCAUUUCUGAAGCGUUUUUUUUUUUUUUUGAUUUUUUAACAUAGCGAAGCAGCAUUGAAACUCUUAAUCAUGGGGGAAUGAGCACCAACACAUUGCCAAGCUCGAGCCACUACCACCUUUAUACCAUGAGUCCAUCGUAGCUUAACCAAAAUUUUUCGAACCUGAAAGAAUUGUGUACCCUUGUUAGAGUCCAGUUGCAAAAGGAUGGGGUAGUGAUCAAAGGCAAUCCGUGGUAACGGCAUUUUCCUUUGCUGGGAAACUAGGGCGUCAUUUCUCAAGGGCCAGGCCUUGGCCGGUAAGGAUCCAUGAUCCUCUCAAUAGAACAUAUAUUUAUCCUCUUCCUUCUCAAAAUAAAAGAUUAAGCAGCCAUCAGAAAAAAAGAACCUGGAAAUCUCUGCUCAAUCUGGAUAUACAAAAAGUAUCUUUUUAUACAUUAUUAAGUGCAGUUAUAAUAUGCAAAGGAUAUAAACAGAAAACUUUAUACCCGUUAGAAAUUUCAAUAUUAAUGAUGAAAAAAAUGAAAAGAUAAACAGUUGAAUGUGAUUCGUAAACUCUACAAAUAUAUAUUUACAAAAAUUGCAUAUUUUCAACACUCCUAACCUCUGCAUCAAACACCACAAAUACAUAAUAACAGUGGGAUGAUAUCUCUUUGUUGAUUCUAAGAUAUGACUUGAUGCAUAAGCUAGGGGUUCAGAUAGCAUAAGACCAUUGUUAAUAGGUACUUUGGACUUCUAACUCAAAUUUAGCAGUUUAAGUUUUCAUUCUUCAAUGACCAAUAUUGAAUUUGGUAGUGGGUGUAAACUCAUUUAUUUACACCCUAUAUGUGACCAUAAUAUAUUCAUAAAAACACUGUAAAUGCUGAGUCAUGAAUAAGGUGUAUGUUAUAAUCAUCAUGUACAAAGGAUUAGAAAAAAAAUAGCUUUAAUAUAGUAAAGAACAGACACCAACCAUUAUCCUAACAAACAGAAUUUCAUAGAGAUGUCACUUCAUUUGGCAGAACAGAUUUACAAGGAGUCCACAGAGCUCAUAUACAUAAAAGAAUGCACAAAGAGGGCAGGAUGAAGUAUGCUUUAUUCUCCUUAGCAAAAAAAAAGUAUGCUUUAUUCUAUAACGAAUCAAUGAAUCAUGAAGCCAUCUCAGCACAUACAUUUCAUUUUGAGCUACAACUUGUUUUUGCAGGGCCGUGAUAUUGUCCUUUCUUUUAUAUUUUCUUCAAUCUCAAAUACACGUACAACGGUACGAGGCACAAAGCCACCGAAAUUAUAGAAGAAUAAAACCUUGGAUUUUACAGGGGAAUAAAUUCAAUGAAUCAGAUGAGGCCUAAUGAAAAACUUGAGGAGAUGCAUAGAACUCGCUUUCAUUGAAAACUGGUCUCAAAUCCUCAUUGCACAUGAAAUCCAGGGGAAAAGAAACAAGGUGGCCCCUCACUGACUGUAAUCUCUCCAUAGGAUCUGUAUCUUUGAUAUCACCAUUCUGAUAGGACUCCAGCUUCUCAGGAGCAAUCCCUAAAUCAGUAGUAGUAUGCCCAAGUUUCUCCUUCCAGUAGGCAGUGCUUUGUCGGAAUGCAGCUCUGCAAAUAUUUGAAAUUGUUUAAGAAACAUGUAUGAAACUAAUGGGCAAUAAACCAGACAAAACAGUGUUAACUGUGAUCAUAUAUACCUGGAAUGGAUGAGGUCAUUGGGAACACAUGAAAAGACAUCCUGGUAGAUCAUAGUAUUGGUCUGCCAAAGAAACACAAUUACCUUAUAAUGGAUAGUAUAAAGAACCAAGCAACAAACUUGGCAAUGAUGGCAUAUGAAUUCAUAAUCACAAAUAACAUAAUGGAAUAUAUACUAUUACAACAUAACUUGUUGGACAUCAAGUGCUUUAAUUGUUAGAAUAGAAACCUUUAAUCCUAAACAUCCUAGGUAAUUUGUAUGAUAAAUCUAAACAUACCCUAGACAUCUAAAGGUCCAUGGGAGUAGAGAAGGAAGUUCGUCUACUUGUGUAGCAACUGCUACACUUAUAUAUGAUACUUGAGGAUUGUAGUCGUUCAUUAUUGUCACUGCUUGCUUUGUAUAUCCUUUAUUGUGUCUAUGCCAACAUUUGAGUUUGGCAACAAUUUGUUCCUUCUAUGCUCCCUUUUUUCCUUGGGGGAGUCAGAGAGUGGGCUGUAGCCCAUAUAAGCCAGCCGGGAGCUGGCGGGUCACAGCCCAAAUGUAGCGGAUCUUUUAGCCUUUCAAAUCCACAACCCUUCCCAUCAAAUGAAAACAGGAUACCAUCAAGGAAGUUUUUGCAAACAAUACUCGGCUGGAUAUAAUUAACAUUAAAAUGAAGCAAGCACAUGGGACGAACAUGAAGCAACAAAACAAUAUAUACAUGCAACAUCAAGCUUUGACAGACUAUAUAGCUGUUUGAAAAGUUUGUCCCAUUCCAGAACUGUGAUCAAGUGCAUCAAGAGCUAAUUAAUAUGCUGAACGGUCCUCUAUCAUGAUAAAAUUAAGUUGGAGACCAAGUUUCACGGGAAAAUAAUAUGAUAUGAUUAUAUGAACAAGGGCUCUGUAGACGGGUCCCGAACAGGUUUCUUUCCAUCAGCUGACAUGACAAGAGAUAAUCUAACCAAAUCUCCAAUAAGAGAACUCCCCAAUGAUAAAACCAAGAUAAUUAAGGUUUUCAAGGAAGAAGUCAAAAAAUAACUACCAUGUAUUUUUGGUUACUAAAAGAAUAAUUUUUCAAUGCUUUUUUUCCUUCACCUUUGCAGUGGCCAUCCAGAUAUCUCUGUAUGUUGCAUCAUCCACGGGAUCACGAAUCAAACUGAUCUGCAAGAACUUAAAGGAAGUUUAUUGAGUAAGAGAAAUUUUGAAUGAGCUUAAUGCACAAAAUCCUGUGUCAUACUUUGCAUUUCCAUAAAAGGUGCAGUUGAAUUCGUCUUGAAAUACAUGCAUCACAACAGCUACUGAAAAAAGCCAUUCUACUAUUAACAAAAGAAUGACAUCACUUUGCCUGCCUUGUUCUCACAGAAUUGAACAUUAUAAGACAAGGUGACAAACAUAGGCAAGGGAGGAACUCUAACAAGAAAAAGCUACAGAAAAGAAAUCUGAUACUGGAGAUAAUGCAAAAGAAAAAUAGAGAGUAUUUGUAGCAUUAACACAUGGAAGACAAGUAUGAGGGAAAAAGAACAUAUGUAAGACUUCUAAUGCUGCAUCUGGUCAUGUAAAAUGAAUCAAUUUUUAGUGAUGGCAAAAGUGUAGCAAAAACCUGAUAAGCAACAAAAAAACAAUCUAUUCUAAAACUGAAAUAUGUAGAGAUCUUUGUACCAAAAAUCUCAAAGAAGAAAAGCAUCGAUACACAAAAAAUGGAAAUCAUAAUGCUAUAGUGAAAAUUAAGAAUUGAACUAGCUUCAGCGGGAAUGUUCAUAAUUUACACCUAUCACUUCACAUGGCAAAAACAAAUAAGAGCUCAAAAUAGGAUAUCGGAGAAUCCUUGAUCAUAAUCCUAUCCAUCUAGCCUUUUCCCAACUAUUUGACAUCGGCUUCAUGAAUCCAUAUUCACCAAAUAUUCCUAUUUAGAGCCACCUGCUGAUGUUACUCCAAGUUUCUCCAUAUCCUCGACAGGAAUCAAAUCCAAAAAGCUUAAGUUGAUAUGAGGAUAGGCUCAUGUGCAUCAAGGCUACCUAAAUUCCCUUGCCCGAGACCAUCCCACUCUCCAAUAAUCUUUCCUUACAACCUCCAUCCAUAUUAUUUAGGUCUUCUCCUUUUUCUUAUAACCUUCAACACCAAUGCAAAUACCUCCUCAUACUGGAACCUUCUCAAAUUUUUGUUAUACAUGUCCAUAUCAUCUCAAUCAAUUUUCCAACACUUUGUCCUUAACUUGUGCGACUCCAAUAACUUCUUUAAUAUAUUCAUUUCUUACUUUAUCUUUUCUAGUUUUACCACAAAUGCAUCUUUAACAUUCUCAUUUCUGCUACACUCAACUUGUUUUUUAUGUACUUUCCUUAUUGCUUAGCACUCUAAGCCAUACAACAUGGCAAGCCUUAUUGUUUUAUAAUAUUUUUCUUUAAAUCUCCAACAUAUGCAUCUAUCAUGUAAUAUUCAAGAUGCACCUAUCGACUUAACUAACCAUAUCUAAUUCUAUUACACAUCUUCAUCUAUCUCCCUACUAUUUUGUACAAUAGAUCCUAAAUAACAAAAUUGGUUAUUUUGUGGUAUUUUAUAGCCAUCAACCUUAAUUAGUAUCUCAUCUUCAUCUGCAUUCGCUCAGGUAACAUUCCAUAUAUUCCUUGUUCAACUAAUUUUUAAGCCUAUAUCCUCUAAAAUUUUCCUUCAUAAGCCCAAUUUAGUACUAAACUAAUUCUCUUUUCAUCAAUCAAUACAACAUCAUUUGCCAAUAACAUAUCUCAUAGCACGUCUUGAAUAUUAAUAGUAAGUUUACCCAUAUUAGUGCAAAAAAUAUGGACUUAGUGUUGGUGCUUGAUGCAAGUCCACAGUAACUAGAAAUACACUUAUUAUACUAGCAACUCCUAAUACUUGUCAAUGCCCCUGCAUGCCUGCCCUCAACUAUCCUAGCAUACCAUUUAUGUAAGCACUUCCUUCUUAAAACCCAGCAAAUUACCUUUCUUUGCUGCCUAUAAUAAGUUUUUUCUAAGUGAAUAAAGAUUGUAUAUAGACUUUUCCUUUUUCUCUAUAUUUUUUCUAUCAGUUGUUUAAGUAAAAGGAUAGCCUCCAUUGUUGAUUUUUCAUGCAUAAAUCCAAACUGGUUUUCUGAAACAGGUAUUUUUUUUCUUUAUCUUUGUUCAAUUACUAUUUUCUAUCUCUUCAUACUGUCUCAUAAGUUUAGCUCAUUGAUAAGGAACAAUUUUGCGUAUGACAUUUAUUCUUAUAAGCAGGUAUCAAAAUACUUGUUGUCCAAUCAUCUAAUAUUUUCUUGGCUUUUAAAAAUUUUAUUAGAUAAGUUAGUGAGCUAAUUUAGCCCAAUAUCUCCCAUGAUAAUCCAAACCUCACUAGGUAUUCAUUUGGCCAAAUGCUUGCCUUCUUGCAUUCUUUUCAAAACCAUCUCCAUAUGGCCUUUACAUUGUACAAAUAGAUCUUUGACUCCUCACUAAGUACUUUAAUGAAGAUUUCUUUAGUAGAACCAUCAUUUAACAAAUUUUCAGAAAACUAUUUUCGUCUUCUUUUACAUUUCACUAAUAUCCUAUUAUCCUCGCUUUUAAUGCAUAGAACUCAACUCAACUAAGCCUUAAUUUGGGGUCGGUUACAUGAAUCCCAAACUUAGUGCAUCUAAUUUUAUUAACAUUUUUAGAUUUCCUCUUUCUAGCUUUACGUAUUUUACAAAUUUCAUUCUUGCAACCCAAACUAUCAUAUAAAUAAUCAUAUGCUACAUAUUUAGACUUACAAGCCUUUUUGCAUCUUUCUUAGACUACUUAGCUUAUGAAAUCCAUGAUAGCUAUUUUUGCCUUGUUUAAAACAAAUCUAUUUUAUUUUAAUUACAUCUUGUACCUAUUUAUUCCAUCACCAAGUUUCUUUGUGGAUAUCUUCUCCCCUUUGACUCUCCUAGAACAUCUUUAGAAUACCCUCUUAAUACAGUUGGUCAUCUGAUCUCACAUUUUAUUUGGUUUAGUCCUUAAAUUCCAGUUUCCCUCCUUUAAUAUAAGACUAGUAACCUAUUUUAUGUAGUUAAACUCCCUCCAAGAAUCACCAUAUAAUCCUUACAUUGAUCUUCUCUUAGUGAUUAAGUUAUCUAUUUGCGACAAAUUCAUUUCACUCUUAAAGGUUACUAAAUACUUAGCUCUCUUCUUAAAAUAUGUGUUUGCAACUGCUAUGUCAUAAGCUAUCGCAAACUCAAGAAUCAAUUUGCCCAUCGAAUCUCUAAUCCCAAAUCCACCAUGUUCUUAGCAUCCCAUACUUCUCUAGCCUAUAUGCCCAUGUAAGUCACCACUUUUAAGUAUCAUUUCUAUAGGAAUACUUUGCAUUAAUCAAUCUAUUUCCUCCCCAAAUUAUUUGCUAGUCCUCUCUCUUAAGCUGCUUGUGGUGCAUAAGCACUAAAUACAUUCAUGAUCUCCUCAUUUAAAACUAAUUUAAUAUCUAUUAAUCUAUCACUUAUAUAAUAUCCUCAUCUAAAACUAAUUUCUUGUAAGCAAGCAAUCUUAAUUUUCCUAGGUGCCAUCACAUCAACUAGUUCUCUACACUUUUAGGUCAAAGUUCCAAGUUUCCAAGUAGCAAAUCUGAUUUUCUUUUCCUGUAUAAAGGAGAAUCCUUAAUCAACAAACAGAUAUAUAAUAGGCUCAAUAAAGACACGGAAACAUCACCAUAUAACCUGAAAAUUAUGUGAGAAAUUGGUUCAUAAUAACCAAAAUAAUUCAAGUUUGGACAAGGCCAUUUAUUAUAUGUAUUCUCUCUCUCUCUUCCUCUCUCUCUCUCUCUAUAUAUAUAUAUAUGUAUGUAUGUAUGUAUGUAUGUAUGUAUGUAUGUAUGUAUGUAUAUGUAUAUAUAAAGAGGAGAGGGAAGGGGGUUGGAGCAAGUAGAAGUAUUUCAAUUGGGAAACAAACCUCUUCAGCAUGAAGACCAAGGUGUUCUGACCAUAAAGAUAGGCGGAAGCUAAGAGAAAAUUUUCCAGCUUUCCACGGCUUUCCAUUCAUAUAAGAAUCAACAAAUUCUUUAUCUUCAAUAAGAACACCAAUCUGAGCAAACAAAACAUGGGACACACAAAUUUAAGUGAUGCGAAAGAAGCAACAAGAAAGUUGAUAGCAUUGCAGAAACAUAAUAAACUAAACCAUUUAUAGUAGACUGUAUAGAAAAGUGUAACUGAAAAUUACUAAAGAAAUGAACUUCUAGCAACUCCUCAUGUAAAAUGUCUUAGAAUAAAUAUCAUUUGUGGCAAAUGAUAUGCUCGAUAUCAAACAUAAACACACUUUUUCUUUUAUACAACAGAAAUAUGAAAGACUAACAUACAUACAAUCUGUGGUGUUGCCUAUUGAUUAAACCAAAAACAAUAUAGUUGACCCACAAAUGAAAACACAAGAGGUCUACCAGUACAGUGCAUAGAUACAAAAGUCAGACAUAUAUGACUUUGUCUUCGAGCAUGCAUGCGUGCAAACAUCCAUCCAUCCAUUCAUAUAAACAUGUUUGUAUAAGGGAAUGCAUUUUGACUUGGAUUAAAAUAAUAGAACCAUACCUCAGAGUCCCUCGAUCCUAGCAAACUUCUAUCAUUUAUAUUAGCUGAACCAAUCAAUGUUAUACGAUCAUCAACAAUCAUCAAUUUGCUGUGAACAUAUACCUGAGAGGAAAACAAAAUCCAUUACCAAAAACCUAGUAGCAUGAUAUAACCCGAAUCAAAACAAGCCAUUAUAUCUCUGAUUUUGUGAUUCAUUAUGGCCGUAUCUUUAACUACAAAAAAUAGGUUACUAGUCUUGGAGAGAGUUUCUAUGUCUGUGGCCCAGGUUCCUGAUUCCGCUGGUUGUGAGGCAAUAUGCUGGGUAAGAAGCACAUAAAAUAGUUUAACUACACACAAGUUUCUAUUCUCUUGAUCAAAACCAUCUCCCUUCCAAUGCUUUUAAAUUAGGGAAAGGAAUUUAAAAUUUUAUGAUAGACCUAAUCUUGUGGUAGAAUAUACGAGUUUUUCUCACAAAAUGCACCCAUUUCUUCAUAAUUUUUGAAGAAAAGAAAGGAGAAUGGCAUGUUGUGACCUUCUCUCUUUUUGUUUAGGGAUGGCUUGAAUUGACCUGAAUCGCUCCAAACCGAGUAGAAACAAGACGUUCUGUUCGGUUCAUAGCGGUUCGAGUCGGUUCUUACCAAUUCCCAAAAUGAGAGGCGAAACUGACCCAAUUCUACAUAGAUUUAGGUUGCUAUGCCCUGAAUUGGCAGUUCACAUCGAUUUGGUGACUUAGGAAAAUAUGUGUUACAUGAGGCUUUGAUAAAAUACACGGAUCAGAUGGGACAUGUUUUUUGAGUCUACAAGAGAGGUCAAUUUAUCUUUUAUCUCUAACUUGAGAUAUUAAGACUUGAAUAAAUAAAAUAUAUUAUAAGUGCAAGGAGACUCACCUGAUUGGUAACUAGAGGGCCUUCAUCGUAAAGUCGACCGUAAGCUCGAAGACCAUAGAAAGAUAUAUAAUCAUGCGCCUUAGGACCCAUUAUAUCAUAAAGAUUUUGCAGUAUUGAAUUUGGCCCUCUGCAAAUAGUUCGGUAUUGCCAAUGCAUUAUUGCCCUUACAGAUGCAGCACCAGCAUCAUCAAUGCCGCCCUGUCACAAAAAUGUUCAGAAAACAACUAACAAAAAAGAAAAGAAACAAGUCAAAGAUGAGUUGCUCAAGUCAUAGUACCUGGAAUCCAGGUAAUAAUGGUAUGAUUAUAAUAACUCGAAAACACCUCUUUUCUUUCUCUGCCCGCAUAAUUCGCCUGUACAAUGCUUCUAAAACACGGUUCCUUAUUGUAUCAUCUCCCGAAAGACUUGAUAUAAAAAAUUGAUUCUAGCAAAAGUGACAAUGGAAAUAACAAAUAGUCAAACUUAAAUACAAAUAAAGAAAUGAAAUUGUUUUGCGUGCGCUAGGGCGGGGGGAUACAGAUAUACAUAUAUAUAUACAUAUAUAUAUACAUAUAUAUAUAUAUAUAUAUAUAUAUAUAUAUAUAUACAUAUACAUAUAUAUAUACAUAUAUAUAUAGAGAGAGAGACAGAGAGAGAGAGAGAGAGAGAGAGAGAGAAUAAUAACACAACAAAAUCUGCAUAACAUUACCGGAUUGUUCACAUGUGUCAAGAUUAUUUGAGAAACUAUUCUAAACAAAUUCAUUUUAAUGAUCAAACAAAUGCUUCUAAAAUAAGAAAUAUUUCUAUGAUAUCUAACAUUUUGAGGAAUGUGAUCAUGUUGUGGGGAUUAGUCUGCAAGGAACUAAUCCCAAAGAGUACGUAAUGGAACGAGACAUGAAUGCAAGAAACAGAACAUCAGUGGGAAGUCGAAAACAGUAGUUUAAAAGAUCCCAAUGCAAGAAACAAUAAACGGGACAUGCUUAAAAAGAUGGAAACUAUUUCCAUUCUCAUUCCCUGCAACUUUCCCCAUUUUGUGUAUAUGAAUCCAAACUGUUAUGCUAUGUUUGGUUCAUACUUCAUAGGAAUAAAAAAGAAUCAAAAUGGAAAUCAAAUGACAUGGAAAUGGAAGAUAGGGAAUUGGAAUCUCCAUUCCUGUUCCAUUAUGUCGGUACAAAUUGAAGGGAUGCAUGAAAAAGGAAUGACAUUUUCCUUCUAAUAUUUAAUUUAGCAAGUUAUAGUUUGAAAUGGAAUAAAUUUUACAUUAAGUUUCUAAAUAUACCCUUUAUUAAGGAAUAAAACCAGAUUUCAAACGACCUUUAUAAUUUAAUUGGAGGCCUUUCAAUUAUGGACUUAACAGAAUAUCUUUAAAUUCAAAAGUCAACCAGGUAAUUUAUGCCAUAGAUACUGCUUGGUUCAUACACAUUGUUACACUAAUGAGAAUGAUGAUUCCUCCCAUUUUCAGAGUGCAAUUUCAAUUCCUCUAUUUAAGGGAAAGGUGAUCCCAAAGCAAUCGUGAUUUAAUUAGUUGUGCAAACCAAACAUUGCAUUUACAUCCCAUAAGCUGGACCAAAUGCAGCACCAUUGUUAGAGAAAUACGUCUUUGGUAACUAUGCCUCAUAUCAAAUAUUUCUGGGCAACAUAAAUAUAAUUAUGUUACAAAUCAUCAGUGUCCAGCUUCAAGAUAAAUAAUGCAAAGCCCAUAAAAUCAGAUAUUUUUUGAGCCCCAAAGUAUUUAGUAGUCCGGUCUGCAGAUAGGUUGCUAGGAUAUCCAAUUGCAUGUGGCAUGAAUGAUCAACAUUGUCAUCAGUUUUAUGUCGAUAUUAGAUUUAGUCAUUACCUUCAUUUACUAAUUGAAUGUGGCCUUAUAUCAUAAAAGGACAAUGCAAAUUGAAUUUGCACAGAAAAGAACAUAUUCCUUAGUAUUUCUAUCAUUCUAUGUUUCACUGCAUUAUCAUAGCAGAGUUUUUUCUUUUUCUUUUUUUUUUCUUCUCAAACACAACUCUUUAAUUGCAUAGGUAGCUUGCUCAAUGUCCUUUGAGAAAUUGCGGGCAUUGAUUGAAGACUUUGCCCGAAUUUUGUUUUCCCGGUUCUUUCUUCCCUCCAGCCUUCACUUAGAUGAAGCCAAACAUGAUUUGGUUGGUAUUACCUUCCUUAGUUCCCUAUGCCUUUAUUUUUCAUUUCUUUCUCCCCUUUGGGAGAUUACAUCUCCCUUCUAUAAUUAGCCUGCACACACUCUGACUGGACUGUUCACAACCAGCAGCUAGUCACCCAACAUCAGAUGCUAUCCAACUAUUUAAUGCAACUGUUAUCUCUUAUUCUUAUUUAUAAGCCCCUGAUCUCCCACUCUCUUUUUCAUUGCCUCCAUUGAACAGCAACAUCACUAUUUGUUGUUUUUUUUAUUUAUUUGCUUUCCAUUUGAUGUUUAUUCUAUUUUUCUUCAUAUAACCUAUUUUUCUCGAGAGAUUUUGGUUUUAGGAUUCUGUUCCUUGCCACUACCUUGUGUAAUUAUGCCAAUCAGCUCUAACCUUUUAGCUGGAAUUCAUGUAAGCCUUGUAAGACUAGUUGCAUGUGACAGGUUAUGCCAUCUAAAUUCAUAUUAAUGGCACAAGUCUCUCACCUACUAAUGGUGAUGAUUACUGUGCAAAGCUAUAUGCUAGUGGCUACCUGAUUAUUGAACAUUUCCCAAUGUAUUAUUGUACCUAGCGAAGAGAGCCUGUUUCUCUUCCAUUUGCAAUGGAUGUAACAGACGAUUGAUAAGGCAUGUAUGACCAAAAGCUUGCGAGUAAAGACUUACCCAAGUUUGCUUUUCUGCUUGUCAAGGUCAUCAUGAUGUCACAAGUUUCUUCCCCUUAUGAUCAACUAUUAAGAGCAAUUGACUACCCUCUAUCUUGUAGCAUGUUCCUUGUGUGCCCUUGCAUCGAACGCACAAUAGCCUAUAGAAGGUAUCACAACUACCAAAUGCUCACCCAAAAUUUCUAAAGCAUAUACAUGAAGAUUUAGGGGCUUGUGGCUUAUAUAAGAAUGUAUUAUUAGAUUAUGACUAGGGGUGGCAAUUUCUAACCUGACCUAGAUCCAAGCUUACCUAAAUCGACCCACCGGAUCCAUAGGUCGGAUAUGGGUCAGCCAAUCUUGACUUGCCAGCAAGUUGGGUUGGGUUCAAGCCAGGCCCCCUCAACCCAUCCAGUCAUAGAGGGGCUUAUAAUAUAUAUUAUAAUAUUUAUAGUUAUUCUAUUUAUAUAUCUAGUAA
rnacentral:lncRNA from 1 species